AUCGGCUACUCCAACGUCUGCGCGGCGCUGGUGCGGAGCUGCCUCAAGGAGCCCUUCAAGACCGAGGUCUCCUCCCGCGAGAAGGUCCACUUCUCCCUCUCCAAGUGGGCCGACGAGAAGCAGCAGAAGCCCAGUAAGUUCCUCGAUCCGAUCAAGUCCCUGUCCCGCGUCCUCGAUCCGGUUUGAUUUGCCUGGCUACGGAAUGAAUCCUAGGGUUCGUGGAUCUGGCUUGGUACUGUUGGAUGUAGAUCUUGGUCUAGGUCUAGCGGUUUACAUGUCUAGGUUGAUCUGCUGGAUUGAAUACGAUCUGAUCAGCGCUGAUGUUUGGUUGGGCCGCGCGUCUUCGCGUGAUUCUGUUGCACACCUGCGUAGAAAUCUGUGCGUCGUUGACGAUGGCACAGAUCUAGUGUGCGUCCUUUUUUUGCCUGUUGGUAGAAAUGUGUUGUGAGGAGGGGAAAAAACUGACCUACGCAAAAGGAUGAUCUUAAAGUUAGCUGUCAGUGUAAUAUACAAGAUUGUUGUGUCAUCUGCUAAGGACUCUGGUAUCAGCUCACUUGAGAUGUAUUGGGAAUUUUAACUCAUCCUAUAGCCUGGAGCUGCUAGAAUCGUAAGAUUAUGUUUUACAGUUUAGUACUUAGUAUUACUUAUUUGCUGGAAAAUAGAGAUGAUUAACCAUGAAUGCAUGAAGUAAUACAUAACGAGGAUCCUACCCUGAGUGUGACCUUGCAUAGGCUGGAUUGGGCGGACAUGAUGGUCCUUAUCGUCUCUGUUCUAUGCAAAAUUUUACCAGAUAAAAAAUAUAUCUAUAUUCCUUUAAAACCAGGAGAAACUGUGGCUCUGUUUGAAGAUUAACUGUAGGAGCCCCACCUGAACUUCUAUGCAGUCAUGGUUAUCGAUUAAUCUCUGCAAGCUUUUCGCAAUAGAUUUCUUUCCCCUGAUGCAAGGAAAAUAUCAUGAGCUUAAUCUGUGGCACCACGUGGCUGCUGCGUGCACUAGAGCAUUCGUGAACUCAUGCUGACGAUAAAGAAACCUCAUGUGGCAAAGGCAUGUGCAAGUCUACUAAUAGAGGGGCUGGUGUGGUAAUAAUUAGCACCCGUAGUUUUCACUUUUCAGAGUCAAUGCAUCAGUACCUCAUAGUUCUGCAAAUGGCUCAAGAUUUGUCAUUACUCUAUUUGUUGAUACAGAGCUGGUAGCAAAGCAGAGGGAGUUUAUUCGGCUGCAUGCAUGAUUGCAUGUGAACACUAAGUAGUGAUCUAUAGCAAUACUGAUUUCGUGUUUCACAUAACUAUCUAUAUUUCUAUUGCAAUUCGUGGAUAUUCUUCCAGGAACUGCAAAAGUAGAUGUAGUUUGGUCUUGGAAUGCUUAGUCCUUGUACAAUGGGAGGUGCUUAGGGAGAUGCUUAGUAAAAUAAACCGAGUUCUUCUUAAGCACCGGUGCUUAUUUCUACAGGACAGACGCUUAAUUAAGCGUUUAUCCUCUACAAAUAAGCACCGGUGCUUAGAGAAAAACUGGUUUAUUUCUCUAAGCAUCUACCCCAAGCAUCUUGCAUUGUACAGGGCCUUAAGUGACUGUUAUGGUUGCUCUCUGAGUGAUUUGCAUGAAGUGUUGCAUCCAACAUCUACGCCUUUCUGAAUAAUUUGCUUAUCCAGCUUCUGUGAUGAUUUUGUACUUUGCAUAUUUAAUGUAUUGCUUUCUUCAUGGUGGUUGGUGGGUAUUGAACCAAGUAGAACCAAAUGAGGCUCUAUUUGCAUGAAGUGUUGCAUCCAAUAUCUACGCCUUUCUGAAUAAUUUGCUUAUCCAGCUUCUGUGAUGAUUUUGUACUUGCAUAUUUAAUGUAUUGCUUUCUUCAUGGUGGUUGGUGGGUAUUGAACCAAGUAGAACCAAAUGAGGCUCUUUCUUGCUUUGAUUCUACUUCAUGAUGUAUUGUUCUCUUGAACACUAACUUGUUUGUUCAUGUUGCAGCUGUGCGCACAGAUGAUGAAUGAAGAUCGGGUGCCAUGGUGAUUGAUGUUUUGAGAAGUUGUUGAGUCAGGGCUUAAGAACUUGAGAAUAAAUUCUUGCGGUGACAAUGGAUCUAUUCCGAUACUAUGUUGUUAUAUUUACUAAUUGCUCCUUUUCUACUUGAUGAACCUGAACCAUGUGAAACUCGUGUCUUGUGGGGCUCGAGUGAGCGUGUUUUUAUGCGUUAUAUCUUCCGAUGCUUUAAUUUGGUAUAUAUUCCAAAGCUUAUGAAUAAACUGUUUUACCCAUGUCACUUGGUGUAUAUCUCUUGGAGCCUUUAUAAAAUAAUAAUAACAAUAAUGCUAAUAAUAAUACUAAUCAAAAACACUUUGAAGUCAUAAUAGCACUCUUAUUAAAAAAUAUGGUCAUGUGUGCUACACACAAAAAAACAUGUGAAUCUACUAUAUAGUAAAGUAUGUUGUAUUUAGGAACACAUUUGAUUCCCCUCAAAAAAAUAGGAACACUGUUUUUUGCAGCAAAAAGAAAUCUUGACCAAAAAUUAUAGGAUCACACUUUGAUUUCUUUUUUAUGAAUCUUCGGUUAUUUACUCUGAUAAUUUGGAGACCCGAUGGACAUGAGCCAAGGCGCCUCUCUAUACGGUCCUUUUGCCGUAGCUGCCAGCAUGUCACGGCAGCACAUGUAAAAGUUAUGUUAUUACUACUAUGUGCUUUUCUUCAGAAACUUGUGCUGUGCAAGUUUGUGUUGCUAAUAACCGGUUAGUGAAUGGUAGCCCUUGACGCAACAUCAAAACGAUUCACAGCCUUGCUAAAUACCAAAAUGUGCUUUCCUUCCAGAGGUUGCAAACCUGUAGCUGCAGCUGAAGGAUGACAUACGCAAAUUCAGCAUUUCACCGAGAUUCAGAACAGAAAGCGCAUGCACAACACAACACACAAAACAGAGCCAUCAAAUGGGCGAUAAACCUCUAACCAAAGAGGUGACACCUAUCGAACGUGGUAAUCCAUCUCUCAUCAUGCGCUGUGCACCAAGGAGAUGCCACAACAUUGUGCACCAAGAGAUGCCACGACAUUGGACGCGGCACAGACACACCAAGGAGAUGCCACGACAUUGGACGCUGUGCACCAAGAGAUGCCACGACAUUGGACGCGGCGCAGACACGACGAAUGAGCACCCUCUUGCCUCAAAGAGACGUUUCCUGUAAAUUUAAAUUUGGCCCAACCAUUACAGUUAGAAUCACGGAGGCCAUUCCCAAUAGAAAUUAUGGAGGCCAUUGCAAAUAGAGUAAGACCCCUUAAUUACAGCUGAUACGGUUAGAACUUGAAGCCGAAAAUAUGCCACAAGUCGAAGAUGUUUUUAUCAAGCCCCGUCGUUUGAGUUCCAAUAGAAGUCACCUCCUUCGGUUGAGUAGCCAUAUGGGAGAUGAGGCCCAUAAACAACACUGCCGUUCAAAAAUGUCAUCUGGUCCACCUGCGAUGCUGCCUGGUAAGCGUCCGGAGCAUUAGCCUGAGCCGUGUUGUUCUGAACUGGGUAGAUGUUUGUGCUGACAUCCUGUGUCCGCGCACGGGCAGUCCGCUUGUUCUCCACAGGACCGUCUGCGCUCAGCCUGACCAUUUGCUGCUGGAUUUCAAUCAGUGGACUGCAAGUGAAUUUUGACUUAGCGCUCUUCUUUGCGUCCGAAGACUUGAAUUCAAGCCGGUAUAAGGCAAAAGCGUCGCGAUCGUUGAUCUCGUAUUCAUAGAGGUGCCAUUCGUAGCUGCUAGAUGGCUGUGGGUCCAUGUAGUAUGAUCUCUUCAGACCCCCAAAGUCUUUCAUCACCUGCUUCCUUGAUUCAUGCCAGCCACGGCCGUUGUAAUCUGGCAGCGACCUUUGCUUCCGGUUUCCACUGUCGAAUGCCCUUCUUGGUUUGUCAAAGAAAAGCCAUUCUCUCAUAGAUUCACCUUCAAAGAUGUAAAGGUCGAAAAGUUCUGCAAAUGAUAGAAAUUAACAAACAGUCAGGACAUAAUUACCGGUACCAAUACAAAUGUAAGAACAUGAGUUAUGUGGCAAGAAGUUACCAGGUGCAUUCCAAGGGGAUUUCGUAGUUGCAGCCCCUUCACAGACAGGAACACCGACAUGCUUUCCUUGGAUUUUUGCACUAAGAGCGGCAAACAAAGGGCCAUCUUUUAGAUCAAUACCUCUCGGGCGGAUCACAGGCAUUGUGCCUGGAGGGCCCUCUUCCUUCACGGCCAAUUCAGCAUGGUACAUGCUGCAGUAAUCUUGCCAGCUUUCAGAUCCUUGAGCAGGCCGAGGGCAGUCCCAGAGAGCGCACUUUGGCCUCAGAAAUGAAGCAGGUGCUGGAGACAUUGUUGUGAGCAAGUCUGACAUGUGCAGGAAACCAUCUCCAGCAUUCUGCCCAUAGUUGUUCAUAUCAAGAUAUGCAUUAGGGGGCAACUCUUGUGGCAAAUUGAACUGCAGAUAUUCUUGGUGACCAAUCCCUUCAAGGUUAUUGAGGAUUUCUGGAUUGGACCCAGGAAGGUUUAUCUUGUAAUCAUCGUCGUAAAGAAAAUCCUCAACACUAAGCUCCUGGUUCACAUAGUACAUCUGGAAGGGCAUGGCAAAACCUUGUUAAAUUUAGCUCAGUUAUGUCAAAAUUAGAACUCGAGAAAUGGAGGUGACAGAGAGAUGGCAAAACUCCAAAAGACCUAGCACUGAACCUAAACAAGAUGUCAUGCAGAAAGCAUAAAACACUGGUGGCUCUUCUAAACAAUGCAAGAUGAUUGAUGAUCUUAGCGCUGAGAUGACCCCUUCUCCAGAAAUUCACUAUGCUAUGCCUGCAGGCAGCACAAUCCCAACUAAUCCAGGGCAGAGGUACAAGAUUAUGUGACGCUUCACCCUACGCGUGCAAGUAUAAAAGACAAACCCAUGUACAGCACGAAUUUCCUUGGUUUGAUUCAAACCAAAUAAAUAAAAAACAUAAGGAAACCAUGGAUGUCUCUGAAGUAGCGCUUCCACGUUUGGUAGCUCGUGCAAGGAAUGCAGGUGGACGCGGCUCCGCCUGCAUCCAAUAACUACUUUUGCCAGCUGUGUCACACAAAGCUGGAAAUCACCACUCUUCUUGAAUGCAGCUUGAGCUUGGUAAGACAGGUUUUGGAGGGAGGCUUUUAUGGUUAAGAUCACCAGGCUUCGUUCUUCUUGUGGUUCAUGAGCAGAAGCAAGCAGUAGAUAGAGGACGUCUAAAAAGGCCAAGUAUGGAGACUUCGGAUGGUAAAGGAUUGUUUUUUUUUUCAAAAUAAGAAAAUCCCUGUGCAUGAUCUUCUAGCGUGAAUAAGGCAGGGGGCAGAAAGUAGGAUCCCGUUGUAUCCUUCACCUCUGAAAUUUGUCGUGAUGGUGAUUUGAUUUUGCUAGGCUACUAGACACAGUAUCCAACGUUGGUUGGUUCCUUUUUCCUUGCUCCUCGUCCUUUAGAACUAUCCUUUGCUUUUGGUUUGCAGGGUUUUUCCCACCCCUAACUGAAUGAAGUAGAAACUGCUACUUCUACAAAAACUUUGACCAGUGUCUGCGCUUAUCGUAUAUGUGCUGGUGCCAAAAUUUAGUAUGUGGUAGCGCACAGCAGAAGAAGAAAAGGCGUCAGCAGGGGUAUCACACAAGCAUGCUAAGGGGGUAGAGAAGCAGGCAGAAAAGGAAACCAAAAUGGAUGAUAUCCUAACUUAAGAUGAAAAACAAAGCACCCUUGUACCCCAUAAGAUGGUUAAAGACAAAAAAAAAACUUACUUUUUGUCUCAAAUAUUACUACAAAUCAGCUUAACAAUUUUUUUUUCAGAACCCACCAAAUACACUAACAAUAAUCUGAACUAACCCCUAUGGUUUCGGGUCCAUAUACUAGAAGCAAUCAUACAGAAUUUCAGGCAAGUUCAUAGCUAUGCAAUUAUAACACAAAAGCGAAGUACUCCUGUACACCACAAGAAGGGCUUUAGUUUUCUUCUCCAUGUGUCUUUGCAUAGUAAAGUACAUUAUAAAUCAGCUUAACUGACCACUUAACCAGCAUUUAGACCCCAACUACAAGAAGCACAGAACGCUAUCCGUUGAGAUAUAUAAACAAGCAUAUUCUUGAGUUCAAUGUAUGCUAGACAUAAAAAUUGCAACCACCUGGAGGCUGUACUGACUAAAUGGAGCAUGGAUUGCAGGACAUAAAGCUCAGUGGCUUUGCAGUCUGCGUGAAUCUAUUAUUGUUAUGUAAUGCAAAUGUGUAAGACUAGGUAGAUAAUGAUUAUCCAAGACCAUCGAAAGCGUAGAGCAAUAGACUCAUUGUGAAAACUGCUGUACUAUGCUUUCAUUCAUAUCUGAAGAUGCCCCCGGCCUGACCAGCUGCUAAUCUAUUUGGCCCAGACCACAGCCAUGUUAAGUCCUCUCCUAUGUUACUGUCUAACCUGAUGAUCCUUCAAGAGCUCCUGCCAUACAGCCCUUUCAUGCUCAUGUUAAUGAAAGGGUAGAAGAAUGGUAGAGUUUAGUGCGUUACUAUGUCUACGCUUAGUUCAAAGGCAAAAUGUAUGUAUGCCAAAGAAUCCAAAAAUUUACUCUCAAGCUACGAUUUUGACCACAGAAGCACAAAACACUUGUAAGAGCUUGAUUUAACUGACGGUUUCGAAGAUAUAAACUAAUCUAACAAACAUAAGUUGAAGAAAAGGACUAGUCAGAACUAUGCAACUCCUGGAGCCACAUAAUGGCCAUUGUGGUUGUAAAUCACAGAUUUCUACCCUAAAAUAAAGUAAUACUCCCUCCGUCCGAUAAUGUAAGAUCAGCAUAUUGGAUGUAAUAAGAUCUUAUAUUAUGGGACAGAGGGAGUAAGUAACUAGAUCCGGUCUAUCAGUAUCAUUGCAAUGAGAUUAGCUACAAAAGCCAAAUCACAAACGGAAUUGCUAAAUCUCAGUCGACUGAGACUUAACCAAGUCUCGGUCGAUGCUAUACUCGUAAGAUCUUUCAUAGAGAUUCAUGCAAAAAAUUCUUUUGAGUUUUUUCUUCUUCCUUUUUUAUGUGUUAUGUCACUUGACCGAGACUUGGUUAAGUCUCAGUCGACUAAGACCUAGCCACACCCAAUCACAAAAGGCAGUAGCUCAAGCCUUAUACUAUAUAGAAAUUUCUAAUUUUACCUCUGGACUGAAGACAACCUAGAUUGAUAUGCACAUCCAUCAUAGAUCUCCAUACAAAUUCAAAUUUGAAUAUUUGUGAUUCUGAUCAACUGAUCAGGAUAUAGAGCUCCAUGUCAUUCCCCACGAACGCGCAAGUAUUUUUUCCAUAAGAAAUGCAGAAAUCCUCACCAAAUGACUAACUGAACGGAAGUUGCUAGCAGGGCACGCCACAUAUCCAACUAAAAAUAUAUACACUCCCUCUGUAAACUAAUAUAAGAGCGUUUAGAUUACUAAAGUGUGAUCUAAACGCUCUUAUAUUAGUUUACCGACGAAGUACAAUCUAUUCCCCCCGUCCCAUAAUAUAAAAACAUUUUUGACACUAGUCUAGUGUCAGAAAUGUUCUUAUAUUAUGGGAAGGAGGAAGUAACAAACUGUCACGAAGCUAUACCGAAAACACAGCCACAAGUAGCAAACUGUUUAUACUACCUGAUCGUGGAACCCGGCAGUAGCUGGAGUGGUGAUAACUCCCGGACCCAGCGACGUCGGCUGCUGCGCCACCGUCACUGGAUCCGCGAUCGCUUCCUCGCGCGGCUCCGGCUUCAUGUCCUGGUCUCCCUGCGCGUGCUUGUGAGCCUGAUUAGCGGACGGCCGGGGCUUCUGCUCCACGAGCUUGCUGGUGGCGUCGUCCUCCUCCUCGGCCGCCGCCAGCUGCGGCGGCCGCGGCGUCUCGGACGGCGGAUCCCGGUUGUUGUUCCCCUGCUGCGCCGUCGACCAUGACCACCCAAUCAAACACCGGCAAAACAGCACGGCACAAGAAACGAAAAGCGCAGAGGAAUGGAGGAGGGGACAGGCAUACCUGGAGGGAGGAGGCGGGGGACGGGACGCUGAGCUCGGCGCGCCACUCGCGGAGCAUCUGGUGGAGCUGCGCCUCGAGGAGGACGGCGUCGGUGGAGCGGGCCUCCUUGCGGGCGUACUGGAGGCCGGAGAACAUGUCCUGGAGGUCGUCGACGCGGGUCUUGGCGCGGGCGCGGAACUGCUGGUGCCGCGCCGACCCCGACCGCGACGGCCCCUUCCGCAUCGCCGACGCGCGCGCCGUCCUCUCCGCUGCUCCGAUCGAUCGGCGCCGUGGAGUGGGUGGCCUCUCCCUCCACCCUUUGCGCCACGGGAGAGGAGAUGGAGAUGCUCGUAUAAUUUGGUGUCGUUUUUCUUCCUCACUUGGUAUGGCUGCCACUUUGCUGGGUCGGCUCGCGAAAAGCGACGGCCGCGGCAAAAAGGAGGCGGGGGUGGGCGGCCUCCGGGCGGGGUAGAUAGGGAGGAAUCCAGCCCAGGACUCGUCAAAGUCGAAAGCGUCGUGCGGUAACAGUGUCAUGGCGUUGGCGUGGACUCACUCGUCUUCGCUCUUCGAUUUUGCUUCGUCGGCUCACCUCGUCUCUCUGGCGUCUCUCUUCCAUUCUUGUGGUUGUGGGCUUUCGACAAUAGAAUGAAACGUUUAUGUUUCUCCUUUUCUCGUGCGAAUCUCUCCUUCUCAAUCUGUCUCAACUUUCUUUUCCGAAUGAAUCUGUGUCGACUUGGUGAGAGCUAGGCCCCGUUUGUUUCAGCUUUAUGAAAACCUGAAAAUGGAACACCUAUUUCGGUUUAGCUUUGCCACUGAAACGAAUUCACUUCUACAUUACUUCGAAGCUCGCUGAAGCUGAAACAAACCGGGCCUGGCCUCGUCUGUUUCAGCUUUGAAAAUUUUGCAUAUGAAACAAACAGCUAUUUCGAAUCAACUUUAGUGGCAAAGCUUACAUCCGGUUCUCGUCAUUUUCAAUGUAUUUUUCACAAGCACGUCUCGGUGUAUUUCAUUCCCAGUGAAAGCGAAUCCACUUUUAAUUCGAAGCCCGUUGAAACUGAAACAAACCAUACUUAGCUCUAUUUGUUUCAGCUUUGAAAAAAAAUUGAAUCUGAAACAAACAGCUAUUUCGAAUUAGGUUCAGUGGCAAAGCUCAAAUUCGGUUCAAGUCAUUUCCAAUGUAUUUUUCUGAAGCACGUCUCUGUGUACUUCAGUGCCAGAAUCAGCUUUCCCACUAAAAGCGAGUCCACGUCUAAUUCGAAGCACAUUGAAGCUGAAACAAACUUCAGCUUUGGAACAAAUGAAUAUGAAACACAACUAUUCUGAAUCAGCUUCAUUGGCAAAGCUCAAAUCCGAUUUGGGUCAUUUUCAAUGUAUUUUACUCAAGCACGUUUGAGUGUACUUCAGUGUCAGAAUCGGUUUUGCGAGUGGAGACGAAUCCACAUCUAAUCCAAAGCCUGUUGAAGCUGAAACAAGCAGGACCGUCCUGUUUGUUUCAACUUUGAAAUAAUGAAUCUGAAACAAACAACCACUUUGAAUCAGCUUCAGUGGCAAAGUUUAAAUCUGAUUCGGGUCAUUUUCAGUGUAUUUUUCUAAGCACGUUUCGGUAUACCCCAGUUUCAAAAUUAGCUUUGGUGGUGAAGCGAAUCCACAUCUGACUCGAAGCCCAUUAAAGCUGAAACAAAGCGGACCUGGCCAUGUUUGUUCCGACUUUUAAAAAGAUGAAUCUGACACAAACAAUUGUUUCAAAUCAGCUCCGGCGGUAAAGCUCAAAUCUGAUUCGAGCCAUUUUCAAUGUAUUUUUCGGAAGUACGUCUCUCCGUACUUCAGUGCUAGAGUCACCUUUGCCAGUGAAGCGAAUCCACAUCUAAUUGGAAUCCCAUUGAAGCUAAAACAAACUGGGACUUGCCAUGUUUGUUUUGGCUUUGAAGAAAAUGAACCAGAAACAAACAACUAUUUUGAACCAACUUCAGUGGCCAUUUUCAAAGUUCAAGUCCUAUUCGGGGUCAUUUUUCAGUGUAUUUUCCUAGAGAACGUCUCGGUGUACUUCGGUGCCAAAAUCAGUUUUGCUAGUGAAGCGAAUCCACAUCUGGUUCGAAACAGGUUGAAGCUGAAACAAACCGGACCUGGUCCUGAUUUUUUCGGAUUUUGAAAAGGUUUAAUAAAACAAAGCAACUAUUCCAAAUCAGCUUCAGUGGUAAAGCUCAAAUCCUAUUUGGGCCAUUUGCAGUAUACUUUCGUGAAGCUUGUCUCUAAUAUUUGCUCAUUUUCCAGCCCAGAAUUCCAACUGCCGGCAUUCUCCCUUUUGUCCUGAAACUCUACAGAAGUUAUUUUUGGAAAUAAUAAAAAAUACUGAGCGAAGAAAAUACCAGAGGAGGCCCACACCCUGGCCACGAGGCCUGGGCGCGCCCCCUGCCUCGGGGGCCCCCUGGUGGCCCUCCGGUGCCUAUCUUCUGCUAUAUGAAGUCUUUCGUCUGAGAAAAAAAAUCAUAAGCAAGGUUUCGAGACGAAACUCCGCCGCCACGAGGUGGAACCUUGGCGGAACCAAUUUAGGGCUCUGGCGGAGCUGUUCUGCCGGGGACACUUCCCUCCGGGAGGGGGAAAUCAUCGCCAUCAUCAUCACCAACGCUCCUCUCAUCGGGAGGGGACCAAUCUCCAUCAACAUCUUCACCAACACCAUCUCAUCUCAAACCCUAGUUCAUCUCUUGUAUCCAAUAUCCAAACCUCAGAUUGGUACCUGUUGAUUGCUAGUAGUGUUGAUUACUCCUUGUAGUUGAUGCUAGUUGGUUUACUUGGUGGAAGAUCAUAUGUUCAGAUCCAUUAUGUAUAUUAAUACCCCUCUGAUUAUGAACAUGAAUAUGAUUUGUGAGUAGUUAUAUUUGUUCCUGAGGACAUGGGAGAAGUCUUGCUAUUAGUAGUCAUAUGAAUUUGGUAUUCGUUCGAUAUUUUGAUGAGAUGUAUGUCGUCAUCCCUCUAGUGGUAUCAUGUGAACCUCGAUUACAUGACACUUCACCAUUGUUUGGGCCUAGAGGGAGGCAUUGGGAAGUAAUAAGUAGAUGAUGGGUUGCUAGAGUGAUAGAAGCUUAAAUCCUAGUUUAUGUGUUGCUUCGUAAGGGGAUGAUUUGAAUCCAUAUGUUUCAUGCUAUGGUUAGGUUUACCUUAAUACUUCUAUUGUAGUUGUGGAUGCUUGCAAUAGGGGUUAACCAUAAGUGGGAUACUUGUCCAAGUAAGGGCAGUACCCAAGCACCGGUCCACCCACAUAUCAAAUUAUAAAAAUACCGAACGCGAAUCAUAUGAACAUGAUGAAAACUAGCUUGACGAUAACUCCCAUGUGUCCUCGGGAGCGCUUUCCUUCAUAUAAGAGUUUGUCUAGGCUUGUCCUUUGCUACAAAAAGGAUUAGGCCAUCUUGCUGCACCUUGUUUACUUUUAUUACUUGUUGCUCGUUACCAACUACCUUAUCACAAAACUAUCUGUUAUCGAUAAUUUCAGUGCUUGCAGAGAAUACCUUGCUGAAAACCAGUUAUCAUUUCCUUCUGCUCCUUGUUGGGUUCGACACUCUUACUUAUCGAAAAGGCUACGAUAGAUCCCCUAUACUUGUGGGUCAUCAAGACUCUUUUCUGGCGCCGUUGCCGGAGAGUGAAGCGCCUUUGGUAGGUGGAAUUUGGUAAGGAAAAAUUUAUAUAGUGUGCUGAAAUUUACUGUCACUUGUUACUAUGGAAAGUAAUCCUUUGAGGGGCUUGUUCGGGGUAUCUUUACCCCGACCGGUAGAGCAAAUAGUUGCUCCUCAACCUACUGAACCUACUGAAAAUAUUUACUUUGAAAUUCCUUCGGGUAUGAUAGAGAAACUGCUAGCUAAUCCUUUCACAGGAGAUGGAACAUUACAUCCCAAUUUACACUUAAUCUAUAUGGAUGAAGUUUGUGGAUUAUUUAAGCUUGCAGGUAUGCCCGAUGAUGUUAUCAAGAAGAAGGUCUUCCUUUUAUAUUUAAAGGGAGAUGCAUUGACAUGGUAUAGGCUAUGUGAUGACAUGGGAUCAUGGGACUACAAACGGUUGAAAUUGGAAUUCCAUCAGAAGUUUUAUCCCGUGCAUCUUGUUUACCGUAUAUAUAAUUUUUGGCCUCGCGAAGGAGAAAGCAUCGCUCAAGCUUGGGGGAGGCUUAAGUCAAUGUUAUAUUCAUGCCCUAAUCAUGAGCUCUCAAGAGAAAUGAUUAUUCAAAAAAAUUAUGCUCGGUUUUCUUACAACAAUCACUCCAUGCUCGAUACUUCUUGUACUGGUUCCUUUAUGAUGAAGACUAUUGAAUUCAAACGGAAUUUAUUGGAGAGAAUUAAACGCAACUCUGAAUAUUGGGAUCUCGGCGAAGGUAAGGAGUAAGGUAUACCACCUAAGUUUGAUUGUGUUAAAUCUUUUAUGGAUACCGAUGUUUUCCGUAAAUUUAGCACUAAAUAUGGACUUGACUCUGAGAUAGCAGCUUCUUUCUGUGAAUCUUUGCUACUCAUGUUGAUCUCCCUAAGGAGAAGUGGUUUAAAUAUAAUCCUCCCAUUGAAGUAAAAGUAGUUGCACCUAUUAAAUUUGAAGAAAAGACUAUCACUUAUAAUGAUCCUAUUGUUCCUACUGCUUAUGUUGAGAAACCACCCUUCCCUGUUAGAAUAAAAGAUCAUGCUAAAGGUUCAAUUGUGGUUCGUAAAAGCAAUAUUAGAACUUAUACACCUCCUGAGCAAGUUAAAGUUGAACCUAAUAUUGAUAUUGUUAAAGAUCUCUUGGCUGAUAAUAUUGAUGGACAUGUUAUUUACCUAUGUGAUGAGACUGCUAGAAUUGCUAAACCUUGUGCUAAAGAUAAACAUAGACCUGUGGUAGGCAUGCAUGUUAUUUCUAUUAAAAUAGGAGAUCAUUGUUAUCACGGCUUGUGUGAUAUGGGUGCUAGUGCUAGUGCAAUACCUAUUUCCUUAUAUAAAGAAAUCAUGCAUGAUAUUGCACCAGCUGAGAUAGAAGAUAUCGAUGUUACCAUUAAGCUUGCUAAUAGAGAUACUAUUUCACCAAUUGGGAUUGUUAGAGACGUUGAAGUCUUGUGUGGGAAGGCUAAAUAUCCUGCUGAUUUCCUUGUUCUUGGUUCCCCUCAAGAUAGCUUUUGUCCCAUUAUAUUUGGUAGACCCUUCUUGAAUACUGUUAAUGCUAAGAUAGAUUGCAAGAAGGAUGUUGUUACUACUGGUUUGGAUGAUAUGCCUCAUGAGUUUAAUUUUUCUAAAUUUCAUAGACAACCCCUUGAUGAAGAAUUGCCUAGGAAAUAUGAAAUCAUUGGUCUUGCUUCUAUUGACGUGCCUCCUAAUGAUCCUUUAGAACAAUAUUUGCUAGACCAUGAGAAUGAUAUCUUUAUGAAUGAAAGAAGGGAAAUAGAUGAAGUAUUCUUUAAACAAGGACCCAUUCCGAAACACAAUUUGCCUGUUGAAAUCCUAGGGGAUCCUCUUCCACCCAAGGGUGAUCCUGUGUUUGAGCUUAAACUAUUGCCUGAUACUCUUAAAAUAUGCUUAUCUUGAUGAAAAGAAGAAAUAUCUUGUUAUUAAUAGUGCUAACCUUUCAGACAAGGAGGAAGAAAAAAUUAUUGAAAACUCUAAAGAAGCACUGUGCUGCUAUUGGAUAUACUCUUGAUGAUCUUAAGGGCAUUAGUCCCACUCUAUGUCAACACAAAAUAAACUUAGAGAAAGACGCCAAACCAGUUAUUGAUCACCAACGACGGCUGAAUCCUAAGAUGAAAGAAGUGGUAAGAAAAGAAAUACUAAAGCUCCUUGAGGCAGGUAUAAUUUAUCCAGUUGCUGAUAGUCAGUGGGUAAGUCCUGUCCAUUGUGUCCCUAAGAAGGGAGGUAUCACUGUCGUUCCUAAUGAUAAAGAUGAAUUGAAUCCGCAAAGAAUUAUUACAGGUUAUAGGAUGGUAAUUGAUUUUCGCAAAUUAAAUAAGGCUACUAAAAAAGAUCAUUACCCCUUACCUUUUAUUGAUCAAAUGCUAGAAAGAUUAUCCAAACAUACACAUUUUUGCUUACUAUAUGGUUACUCUAGUUUCUCUCAAAUACCUGUGUCAGCUGAUGAUCAAGCAAAGACCACUUUUACUUGCCCUUUUGGUACUUUUGCUUAUAGAUGUAUGCCUUUUGGUUUAUGUAAUGCACCUGCUACCUUUCAAAGAUGCAUGAUGGCUAUAUUUUUUGACAUUUGUGAAAAGAUAUGUGAGGUUUUCAUGGACGAUUUCUCCGUUUAUGGAUCCUCUUUUGAUGAUUGCUUGAGCAAUCUUGAUCGAGUUUUGCGGAGAUGUGAAGAAACUAAUCUUGUCUUGAAUUGGGAGAAGUGCCACUUUAUGGUUAAUGAAGGAAUUGUCUUGGGGCAUAAAAUUUUUGAAAGAGGUAUUGAAGUGGAUAAAGCUAAAGUUGAUGCUAUUGACAAGAUGCCAUGUCCCAAGGACAUCAAAGGUAUAAUAAGUUUCCUUGCUCAUGCCGGUUUUUAUAGGAGGUUCAUUAAGGACUUCUCAAAAAUUUCUCGGCCUCUGACUAAUCUAUUACAAAAAGAUACUCCUUUUGUCUUUGAUGAUGAUUGUGUAGAAGCAUUUGAAAUACUUAAGAAAGCAUUGAUUUCUGCACCUAUUGUUCAGCCACCUGAUUGGAAUCUACCCUUUGAAAUUAUGUGUGAUGCUAGUGAUUAUGUUGUAGGCGCUGUUCUAGGGCAAAGAGUUGAUAAUAAAUUAAAUGUUAUUCAAUAUGCUAGUAAAACUCUAGACAAUGUUGAUACGUCUCCAUCGUAUCUACUUUUCCAAACACUUUUGCCCUUGUUUUGGACUCUAACUUGCAUGAUUUGAAUGGAACUAACCCGGAUUGACGCUGUUUUCAGCAGAAUUGCCAUGGUGUUAUUUAUGUGUAGAAACAAAAGUUCUCGGAAUGACCCGAAACUCCACGGAGAUUAUUUUUGGAAAUAAUAAAAAAUACUGGCAAAGAAUCAAGGCCAGGGGGCCCACACCCUAGCCAUGAGGGUGGGGGGCGCGCCUGCCCCCUGCCUCGUGGGCCCCCUGGAGCUCCUCCAACCUCAACUCCAACUCUAUAUAUUCACUUUUGGAGAGAAAAAAAUCAAGGAGAAAGAUUCAUCACAUUUUACGAUACGGAGCCGCCGCCAAGCCCUAAACUCUCUUGGGAGGGCUGAUCUGGAGUCCGUUCGGGGCUCCGGAGAGGGGAAUCUGUCGCCAUCGUCAUCAUCAACCAUCCUCCAUCACGAAUUUCAUGAUGCUCACCGUUGUGCGUGAGUAAUUCCAUCGUAGGCUUGCUGGACGGUGAUGGGUUGGAUGAGAUUUAUCAUGUAAUCAAGUUAAUUUUGUUAGGGUUUGAUCCCUAGUAUCCACUAUGUUCUAAGAUUGAUGUUACUAUGACUUUGCUAUGCUUAAUGCUUGUCACUAGGGCCCGAGUGCCAUGAUUUCAGAUCUGAACCUAUUAUGUUUUCAUGAAUAUAUGUGAGUUCUUGAUCCUAUCUUGCAAGUCUAUAGUCACCUACUAUGUGUUAUGAUCCGGCAACCCCGAAGUGACAAUAAUAGGGACCACUCCCAGUGAUGACCGUAGUUUGAGGAGUUCAUGUAUUCACUAGGUGUUAAUGCUUUGGUCCGGUACUCUAUUAAAAGGAGGCCUUAAUAUCUCUUAGUUUCCGCUAGGACCCCACUACCACGGGAGGGUAAGACAAAAGAUGUCAUGCAAGUUCUUUUCCAUAAGCACGUAUGACUAUAUUCGGAAUACAUGCCUACAUUACAUUGAUGAAUUGGAGCUAGUUUUGUGUCACCCUAGGUUAUGACUGUUACAUGAUGAACCACAUCCGGCAUAAUUCUCUAUCACCGAUCCAUUGCCUACGAGCUUUCCAUAUAUUGUUCUCCGCUUAUUUACUUUUCCAUUGCUAUUGUUACAAUCACUAUAAAACACCAAAAAUAUUACUUUUGCUAUCGUUAACUUUUGCUACCGUUACCACUACUAUCAUAUUACUUUGCUACUAAAUACUUUGCUACAAAUAUUAAGUUUCCAGGUGUGGUUGAAUUGACAACUCAGCUGCUAAUACUUGAGAAUAUUCUUUGGCUCCUCUUGUGUCGAAUCAAUAAAUUUGGGUUGAAUACUCUACCCUCGAAAACUGUUGCGAUCCCCUAUACUUGUGGGUUAUCAAGACUAUUUUCUGGCGCCGUUGCCGGGGAGGAUAGCUCUAUUCUUUGAGUCACUUGGGAUUUAUAUCUGCUUAUCGUUAUGAAGAACUUGAAAGAUCCAAGAACCAAGACUUAUCCCUCAACUACGAGGGGGGGUAAGGAACUGACAUCUAGCUCUGCACUUGAUUCACCUUCUGUUUUGAGUAAGCUUGCGACACCUAAACCUGCUUCUGCUAUUAAUUCUGAUAUGUUGCAUGUUAUUGAUGAUGCCACUUCUACUAUGCAUGAUACUUAUGAUGAAACUACUUCUAUGCUUGAUACUACUGUGCCACUUGGUGAAUUUCUUGAUUAACAACUUGCUAGGGCUAGAGAGAAUGAAAUUAUUGAAAAUGAUAAUAUUGAUGAAAGUGAUGAUGAAGGCUCUCCUAAUAAAUAUGAAUUUACCUGUUGUGCCUAAGGGCUAUGUUAUGGAUGAAGAAACUAAAAGAGACUUUCUUGCUUGCAAUGAUAGGAGUGAUCUUAAUUAUUAGCUAAGCUUAAACAAAAAAACUCUGAAUGCUAGAAUGAAAUAUGUGUUGGGGAACGUAGUAAUUUCAAAAAAAUUCCUACGCACACGCAAGAUCAUGGUGAUGAUAUAGCAACGAGGGGAGAGUGUUGUCUACGUACCCUUGUAGACCGAAGCGGAAGCGUUGACGUAACGUAGAGGAAGUAGUCGUACGUCCUCCGGUUCAACCGGUCCAAGUACCGUUACUCCGGCACCUCCGAGUUCUUGACACGCGUACAACUCGAUGACGCACCCUCGAUCUCCGAUCCAGCAGAGGCGCCGAGGGGGAGUUCCGUCAGCACGACGGCGUGGUGACGAUCUUGAUGUUCUCCUGUCGCAGGGCUUCGCCUAAGCACCGCUACAAUAUGACCGAGGUGUAAUAUCGUGGAGGGGGGCACCGCACACGGCUAAGGAACGAUCAAUGAUCAACUUGUGUGUCCUAGGGUGCCCCCCUACCCCCGUAUAUAAAGGAGGGAGGGAGGAGGUGGCCGGCCCUAGGGGGGCGCGCCAUGAGGAGGGGGAAACCUACUCCAAGUAGGUUUCCCUCUCUUUUCCUUAUCUUAUUCGGAGGGGGAAGGAAAGAGUACUAGUAUUAGGAAGUAGUACUAGUAGUAGUAAUAGGAAGAGGGGGGAAGGAGAAAGGAAAGGGGGGGCCGGCCCCCCUCCCCAAUUCGGAUUGGGCUUGGGGGGGCGCGCCCCCCUCCCUUGCUCCUUCUCUCUUCUUCCUACAUGGGCCCAAUAAGGCCCAUAUACCUCCCGGGGGGUUCCGGUAACCUCCCGGGGCUCCAAACUUCUCCGGAAUCUUUCCGGUGUCCAAAUAUAUCCGUCCAAUAUAUCAAUCUUUAUGUCUCGACCAUUUCGAGACUCCUCGUCAUGUCCGUAAUCAUAUCCGGGACUCCGAACAACCUUCGGUACAUCAAAAUACAUAAACUCAUAAUAAAACUGUCAUCGAAACCUUAAGCGUGCGGACCCUACGGUUCGAGAACGAUGUAGACAUGACUGAGACACAUCUCUGGUCAAUAACCAAUAGCGGGACCUGGAUGCCCAUAUUGGUUCCUACAUAUUCUACAAAGAUCUUUAUCGGUCAAACCGCAUAACAACAUAUGUUGUUCCCUUUGUCAUUGGUAUGUUACUUGUCCGAGAUUCGAUCGUCGGUAUCCAAUACCUAGUUCAAUCUCGUUACUGACAAGUCUCUUUACUCAUUCUGUAAUACUUCAUCUCAUAACUAGCUCAUUAGUUACAUGCUUGCAAGGCUUAGGUGAUGAGCAUUACCGAGAGGGCCCAGAGAUACCUCUCCGACAAUCGAAGUGACAAAACCUAAUCUUAAAUUAUGCUAACUCAACAUGUACCUUUGGAGACACCUGUAGUACUCCUUUAUAAUCACCCAGUUACGUUGUGACGUUUGGUAGUACCCAAAGUGUUCCUCCGGUAAACGGGAGUUACACAAUUCUCAUAGUUACAGGAACAUGUAUAAGUCAUGAAGAAAGCAAUAACAACAUACUAAACAAUCAAGUGCUAGGCUAACGGAAUGGGUCAAGUCAAUCACAUCAUUCUCCUAAUGAUGUGACCCCGUUAAUCAAAUGACAACUCUUUUGUCCAUGGCUAGGAAACAUAACCAUCUCUGAUAAACGAGCUAGUCAAGUAGAGGCAUACUAGUGACACUAUGUUUGUCUAUGUAUUCACACAUGUAUUAUGUUUCCGGUUAAUACAAUUCUAGCAUGAAUAAUAAACAUUUAUCAUGAAAUAAGGAAAUAAAUAAUAACUUUAUUAUUGCCUCUAGGGCAUAUUUCCUUCAGUCUCCCACUUGCACUAGAGUCAAUAAUCUAGUUCACAUCACCAUGUGAUUUAACACCAAUAUUCAUAUCUGCAUAUGAUUAACACCCAUAGUUCACAUCAUCAUGUGACCAACACCCAAAGGGUUUACUAGAGUCAAUAAUCUAGUUCACAUCGCUAUGUGAUUAUCACCCAAAGAGUACUAAGGUGUGAUCAUGUUUUGCUCGUGAGAGAAGCUUAGUCAACGGGUCUGUCACAUUCAGAGCCGUAUGUAUUUUGCAAAUAUUUUAUGUCCACAAUGCUCUGCACGGAGCUACUCUAGCUAAUUGCUCCCACUUUUAAUAUGUAUUCAGGUUGAGACUUAGAGUCAUCUGGAUCAGUGUAAAAGUUUGCACUGAUGUAACUUUUACAAUAAACUCUUUUAUCACCUCCAUAAUCGAGAAACAUCUCCUUAGUCCUUACUAAGGAUAUUCUUGACCAAUGUCCAGUGAUCUACUCCUAGAUCACUAUUGUACUCCCUUGCCAAAUUCAGAGCAAGGUAUACAAUAGGUCUGGUACAUAGCAUACUUUAUAGAACCUAUGACUGAGGCAUAGGGAAUGACUUUUCAUUCUCUUUCUAUUUUCUGCUGUGGUCGGGAUUUGAGUCUUACUCAAUACCUUUGCAACACAGGCAAGAACUCUUUCUUUGACUGUUCCAUUUUGAACUAUUUCAAAAUCUUGCCAAGGUAUGUACUCAUUGAAAAUCUUAUCAAGCGUCUUGAUCUAUCUCAAUAGAUCUUGAUGCUCAAUAUGUAAGUAGUUUUUACUGAGGUCUUUUCUUUUUAAAGAACUCCUUUAAAACACUCCUUUAUGCUUUGCAGAAAAAUUCUACAUCAUUUCUGAUCAACAAUAUGUCACUCACAUAUACUAAUCAGAAAGGUUGUAGUGCUCCCACUCACUUUAUUGUAAAUACAGGCUUCAUCGUAAGUCCAUAUAAAACUAUAUGCUUUGAUCAAUUUAUCAAAGCGUAUAUUCCAACUCCGAGAUGCUUGCACCAGUCCAUAGAUGGAUCGCUGGAGCUUGCACAUUUUGUUAGCACCUUUAGGAUUGACAAAACCUUUUUGGUUGUAUCAUAUACAACUCUUCUUUAGUAAAUCCAUUAAGGAAUGCAGUUUUGACAUCCAUUUGCCAGAUUUCAUAAAAUGUGGCAAUUGCUAACAUGAUUCAGACAUACUUAAGCAUCGAUACGAGUGAGAAAAUCUCAUCGUAUUCAACCCCUUGAACUUGUUGAAAAACCUUUUGCAACAAGUCGAGCUUAGUGGAUAGUAACACUACUAUCAGUGUCCGUCUUCCUCUUGAAGAUCCAUUUAUUUAACAUGGCUUGCUGAUCAUCGAGCAAUUCAAUCAAAGUCCAUACUUUGUUUUCAUACAUGGAUCAUAUCUCAGAUUUUAUGGCCUUAAGCCAUUUCGCGAAAUCUGGGCUCAUCAUCGCUUCCUCAUAGUUCGUAGGUUUAUCAUGGUCUAGUAACAUGACUUUUAGAACAGGAUUACCGUACCACACUGGUGCGGACCGUACUUUGGAAGACCUACGAGGUUCUGUAGUAACUUGAUCUGAAGUUUCAUGAUCAUCAUCAUUAGCUUCCUCACUAAUUGGUGUAGGAAUCACUGGAACUGAUUUCAGUGAUGAACUAUUUUCCAAUUCGGGAGAAGGUACAAAUUACCUUAUCAAGCUCUACUUUCCUCCCACUCACUUCUUUCGAGAGAAACUCCUUCUCUAGAAAGGAUCUAUUAUCAGCAACAAAUUUGCCUUCGGAUCUGUGAUAGAAGGUGUACCCAACAAUUUCCUCUGGGUAUUCUAUGAAGACACACUUCUCCGAUUUGGGUUCGAGCUUAUCAAGUUGAAAAACCCUUUUUCAUAUAAGCAUCGCAACUCCAAACUUUAAGAAACAACAGCUUAGGUUUACUGCUAAACCAUAGUUCAUGCGGUGUCGUCUCAACGGAUUUAGAUGGUGCCCUAUUUUAAAUGUGAAUGCAGCUGUCUCUAAUGCAUAACCCCAAAACGACAAUGGUAAAUCAGCAAGAAACAUCAUAGAUCGCACCAUAUCCAAUAAAGUACGAUUAUGACGUUCGGACACACCAUAAUGUUGUGGUGUUCCGUUGGCGUGAACUGUGAAACUAUUUCACAUUGUUUUAGUUGAAGACCAAACUCGUAACUCAAAUAUUCGUCUCCGCGAUCAGAUCGCAGAAACUUUAUUUUCUUGUUACGAUGAUUUUUUUUACUUCACUCUGAAAUUCUUUGAACCUUUCAACUAUUUCAGACUUAUGUUUCAUCAAGUAGAUAUACCCAUAUCUGCUCAAAUCAUCUUGUGAAGGUCAGAAAAUAACGAUACUUGCCACGAGCAUCAACACUCAUUGGAUCGCAUAGAUCAGUAUGUAUUAUUUCCAAUAAGUUAGUAGCUCGUUCCAUUGUUCCGGAGAACGGUGUUUUAGUCAUCUUGCCCAAAAGGCACGGUUCGCAAGUACCAAGUGAUUCAUAAUCAAGUGGUUCCAAAAGUCCAUCAGUAUGGAGUUUCUUCAUGCGCUUUACACCAAUAUGACCUAAACGGCAGUGCUACAAAUAAGUUGCACUAUCAUUAUUAACUUUGCAUCUUUUGGUUUCAAUAUUAUGAAUAUGUGUAUCACUAAAAUCGAGAUCCAAUGAACCAUUUUCAUUGGGUGUGUAACCAUAUAAGGUUUUAUUCAUGUAAACAGAACAACAAUUUAUUCUCUUACUUAAAUGAAUAACCGUAUUGCAAUAAACACGAUCAAAUCAUAUUCAUGCUCAACGCAAACGCUAAAUAACAUUUAUUUAGGUUUAACACUUAUCCCGAAAGUUUAGGGAGUGUGCGAUGAUGAUCAUAUCAAUCUUGAAACUACUUUCAACAUACAUCGUCACUUCACUCUUAACUAGUUUCUGUUUAUUCUGCAACUCCCGUUUCGAGUUACUACUCUUAGCAACUGAACCAGUACCAAAUACCGAGGGGUUGCUAUAAACACUAGUAAAGUGCACAUCAAUAACAUGUAUAUCAAAUAUACCUUUGUUCACUUUGCCAUCCUUCUUAUCCGCCAAAUACUUGGGGUAGUUCUGCUUCCAGUGACCAGUCCCUUUGCAGUAGAAGCACUUAGUCUCAGGCUUAGGUCCAGACUUGGGCUUCUUCACUUGAGAAGCAACUUGCUUGCCGUUCUUCUUGAAGUUCCCUUCUAUCCCUUUGCCCUUUUCUUGAAACUAGUGGUCUUGUUAACCAUCAACACUUGAUGCUCUUUCUUGAUUUCUACCUUCGUCGAUUUCAACAUCACGAAGAGCUCAGGAAUCAUUUUCGUCAUCCCUUGCAUACUAUAGUUCAUCACGAAGUUCUACUAACUUGGUGAUGGUGACUAGAGAACUCUGUCAAUCACUAUCUUAUCUGGAAGAUUAACUCCCACUUGAUUCAAGCGAUUGUAGUACCCAGACAAUCUGAGCACUUGCUCACUAGUUGAGCGAUUCUCCUCCAUCUUUUAGCUAUAGAACUUGUUGAAGACUUCAUAUCUCUCAACUCGGGUAUUUGCUUGAAAUAUUAACUUCAAUUCCUGGAACAUCUCAUAUGGUCCAUGACGUUCAAAACGUCUUUGAAGUCCCGAUUCUAAGCCGUUAAGCAUGGUGCACUAAACUAUCAAGUAGUCAUCAUAUUGAGCUAGCCAAACGUUCAUAACGUCUACAUCUGCUCUUGCAAUAGGUCUGUCACCUAGCGGUGCAUCAAGGACAUAAUUCUUCUGUGCAGCAAUGAGGACUAACCUCAGAUCACGGAUCAAAUCCGCGACAUUGCUACUAACAUCUUUCAACACAGUUUUCUCUAGGAACAUAUCAAAAUAAACAUAUGAAAGCAACAAUGCGAGCUUUUGAUCUACAACAUAAUUUGCAAAAUACUACCAGGACUAAGUUCAUGAUAAAUUUAAGUUCAAUUAAUCAUAUUACUUAAGAACUCCCACUUAGACAGACAUCUCUCUAGUCAUCUAAGUGAUCACGUGAUCCAAAUCAACUAAACCAUGUCCGAUCAUCACGUGAGAUGGAGUAGUUUCAAUGGUGAACAUCGCUAUGUUGAUCAUAUCUACUAUAUGAUUCACGCUCGACCUUUCGGUCUCCGUGUUCCGAGGCCAUAUCUGUAUAUGCUAGGCUUGUCAAGUAUAACCUGAGUAUUCCGCGUGCGCAACUGUUUUGCACCCGUUGUAUUUGAACGUAGAGCCUAUCACACCCGAUCAUCACGUGGUGUCUCAGCAUGAAGAACUUUCGCAACGGUGCAUACUCAGGGAGAACACUUCUUGAUAAUUAGUGAGAGAUCAUCUUAAAAUGCUACCGUCAAUCAAAGCAAGAUAAGAUGCAUAAAGGAUAAACAUCACAUGCAAUCAAUAUAAGUGAUAUGAUAUGGCCAUCAUCAUCUUGUGCUUGUGAUCUCCAUCUUCGAAGCACCGUCAUGAUCACCAUCGUCACCGGCUCGACACCUUGAUCUCCAUCGUAGCAUCGUUGUCGUUACGCCAUCUAUUGCUUCUACGGCUAUCGCUACCGCCUAGUGAUAAAGUAAAGCAAUUACAGGGCGUUUGCAUUUCAUACAAUAAAGCGACAACCAUAUGGCUCCUGCCAGUUGCCGAUAACUUCGGUUACAAAACAUGAUCAUCUCAUACAAUAAAAUAUAGCAUCAUGUCUUGGCCAUAUCACAUCACAACAUGCCCUGCAAAAACAAGUUAGACGUCCUCUACUUUGUUGUUGCAAAUUUUACGUGGCUGCUACGAGCUUAAGCAAGAACCAAUCUCACCUACGCAUCAAAACCACAACGAUAGUUUGUCAAAUAGACUCCGUUUUAACCUUCACAAGGACCGGGCGUAGCCACACUCGGUUCAACUAAAGUGAGAGAGACAGACACCCGCCAGCCACCUUUAAGCACGAGUGCUCGUAACGGUGAAACCAGUCUCGCGUAAGCGUACGCGUAAUAUCGGUCCGGGCCGCUUCAUCUCACAAUACCGCUGAACCAAAGUAUGACAUGCUGGUAGGCAGUAUGACUUAUAUCGUCCACAACUCACUUGUGUUCUACUCGUGCAUAUGACAUCUACGCAUAAAACCUAGGCUCGGAUGCCACUGUUGGGGAACGUAGUAAUUUCAAAAAAUUUCCUACGCACACGCAAGAUCAUGGUGAUGAUAUAGCAACGAGGGGAGAGUGUUGUCUACGUACCCUCGUAGACCGAAGCGGAAGCGUUGACGUAACGUAGAGGAAGUAGUCGUACGUCCUCCGGUUCAACCGAUCCAAGUACCGUUACUCCGGCACCUCCGAGUUCUUGACACGCGUACAGCUCGAUGACGCACCCUCGAUCUCCGAUCCAGCAGAGGCGCCAAGGGGAGUUCCGUCAGCACAACGGCGUGGUGACGAUCUUGAUGUUCUCCUGUCGCAGGGCUUCGCCUAAGCACCGCUACAAUAUGACCGAGGUGUAAUAUCGUGGAGGGGGGCACCGCACACGGCUAAGGAACGAUCAAUGAUCAACUUGUGUAUCCUAGGGUGCCCCCCUACCCCCGUAUAUAAAGGAGGGAGGGAGGAGGUGGCCGGCCCUAGGGGGGGCGCGCCAUGAGGAGGGGGAAACCUACUCCAAGUAGGUUUCCCUCUCUUUUCCUUAUCUUAUUUGGAGGGGGGAGGAAAGAGUACUAGUAUUAGGAAGUAGUACUAGUAGUAGUAAUAGGAAGAGGGGGAAGGAGAAAGGAAAGGGGGGGGCGGCCCCCCUCCCCAAUUCGGAUUGGGCUUGGGGGGGCGCGCCCCCCUCCCUUGCUCCUUCUCUCUUCUUCCUACAUGGGCCCAAUAAGGCCCAUAUACCUCCCGGGGGGUUCCGAUAACCUCCCGGGGCUCCAAACUUCUCCAGAACCUUUCCGGUGUCCAAAUAUAUCCGUCCAAUAUAUCAAUCUUUAUGUCUCGACCAUUUCGAGACUCCUCGUCAUGUCCGUAAUCAUAUCCGGGACUCCGAACAACCUUCGGUACAUCAAAAUACAUAAACUCAUAAUAAAACUGUCAUCGAAACCUUAAGCGUGCGGACCCUACGGUUCGAGAACGAUGUAGACAUGACUGAGACACAUCUCUGGUCAAUAACCAAUAGCGGGACUUGGAUGCCCAUAUUGGUUCCUACAUAUUCUACAAAGAUCUUUAUCGGUCAAACCGCAUAACAACAUAUGUUGUUCCCUUUGUCAUUGGUAUGUUACUUGUCCGAGAUUCGAUCGUCGGUAUCCAAUACCUAGUUCAAUCUCGUUACCGACAAGUCUCUUUACUCAUUCUGUAAUACUUCGUCUCAUAACUAGCUCAUUAGUUACAUGCUUGCAAGGCUUAGGUGAUGAGCAUUACCGAGAGGGCCCAGAGAUAGCUCUCCGACAAUCGGAGUGACAAAACCUAAUCUUAAAUUAUGCUAACUCAACAUGUACCUUUGGAGACACCUGUAGUACUCCUUUAUAAUCACCCAGUUACGUUGUGACGUUUGGUAGUACCCAAAGUGUUCCUCCGGUAAACGGGAGUUACACAAUUCUCAUAGUUACAGGAACAUGUAUAAGUCAUGAAGAAAGCAAUAGCAACAUACUAAACGAUCAAGUGCUAGGCUAACAGAAUGGGUCAAGUCAAUCACAUCAUUCUCCUAAUGAUGUGACCCCGUUAAUCAAAUGACAACUCUUUUGUCCAUGGCUAGGAAACAUAACCAUCUCUGAUAAACGAGCUAGUCAAGUAGAGGCAUACUAGUGACACUAUGUUUGUCUAUGUAUUCACACAUGUAUUAUGUUUCCAGUUAAUACAAUUCUAGCAUGAAUAAUAAACAUUUAUCAUGAAAUAAGGAAAUAAAUAAUAACUUUAUUAUUGCCUCUAGGGCAUAUUUCCUUCAAUAUGAUCCUACUUAUGCUACUUCACCUAUCUUUGUUACUGAUAAGGAUUAUGAAUUCUCUAUUGAUCCUGAUAUAAUUACUUUGGUUGAAUCUAAUCCUUUUUAUGGCUAUGAAUCUGAAACUGUUGUGGCACAUCUUACUAAAUUAAAUGAUAUAGCCACCCUGUUCACUAGUGAUGAGAGAACUCGCUACUUUUAUAUCCUUAAAAUAUUUCCGUUCUCGUUAAAGGGUGAUGCUAAGAUAUGGUUUAAUUCUCUUGAUCCUGGUUGUGUGCGUAGUCCCCAGGAUAUGAUUUAUUACUUCUCUGCUAAAUAUUUCCUUGCUCAUAAGAAACAAGUUGCCUUAAGGGAUAUAUAUAAUUUUGUGCAAAUUGAAGAAGAGAGUCUCCCACAAGCUUGGGGGAGGCUUCUCCGAUUAGUUAAUGCUUUGCUUGAUCAUCCUCUUAAGAAAAAUGAAAUACUUGAUGUUGGGAAUAUAACUACUGGGUAUGACCCGCCCAGGAGGGGCCGAGUCAAUACCAAUGGCGGGUUACUAAAAGAAGCCCAUUGAAUAUGCAAGACGAUGGUUUAAGCCUAGAGGCGGCUUAAGGCCCAAUAUUGUAAACCUCCAUGUGUAAUGAAAGACUUGUAAAGAAAGGCAUGUAAAAGAAAUCACCGAGUCGGACACGUUCUAUGAGCCGGCCGGGACUCUGUAGGCCGCCAGGCGUCAACCCGUGUAUAUAAGGGGACGACCCGGCAGCGACUUAGGGCAAGAAACAACAGAUUGAGAGCCAAGCUAGCGGAUUUGCUCCUGGUCAUUGAAACCUAGCAAUACUACAUCAACUGGACUAGGCUUUACCUUCACCGUAAGGGGCCGAACCAGUAUAAACCUCUCGUGUCCUUUGUCCCGAUUAACCCCUUUAAGCUUCCUAGUUGCGAUGGACCUACGACUAAGUCCUUUCGCUAGGACAUCUGCCGUGACAAUUCCACAACAGUUGGCGCACCGUGGGGCCAGUGCACGGUGGAUUUGAGUUCUUGAAGGGCAACUUCGAAGGGCUCAAGGGAUACGCUGUGGGCCGGAUGACCAAGAGUCAUCGCGACAAGCUCUACAUCAACGACGAAGGCUGGGGCCCUGAGGCCGGCUCAAUUGAGUACGGGUACCGGGUCCCCUUUGGUGGAAUCCAUGUCUUCAUCGGCCGGAUCGGCGAGUCGGGCCCUGAGCCGGACGUCUGCACCAAUCUCAUCGAGACGGCUCAGCGCGCGAGAUCCGCCCGGGCUCAGCCUGCCGUGAGGCAUGCCUUUGUGGGUUGCAUCCAUGGAGGUGAAUUCUCUGAAGGAUCAGUGGAUGGCGGUGAGACGGCCAUCUGCUCUGACAGUGAGUCGUCCACGGGUGAGACAGAUUCUUUGUAUCAGCUACAAGAUGGCGUGCUUGGGGACUGUUUUGAUGGCAGCAGUAUUCUGGACCCCUUUGAGCCGCCGAAUCGAGAUGGAGUCUUCAUGGCUGGCACUCAACCCGGUCAAAAUUCCAUAGCUGCGGUAGCAAUAACCACCGGGUCGGCAGCAGCCGGGUCAGGAGACCCCGCGCGCCCACCGGCUCGGGUUCUGAUGGACCUCAUGGAUAGGAUGACGGCCCUGUUGACUGCUGUGGUUGAGCCAGCGGAUAAGGCUCAACAUGAUGCGGAGGUGCCGCGACUAUGCGGAGAGGUAGCUCAGGCCAAAGAAAACUUAGCAGCGGAAGAGGUCAGGAUGGCCGCAGAACGGGCGGCUUUGGAUGCUUGUGCUCAGCAGCUUCAAGCGGAGACUUUUCGGCUCUCGGUGGAUCUGAACGCAUCAAACGAGGUCAUGAGGAGAAGGCACCAAAAAGCUCAGUCAUGUCUGCCUCUGACUUACGAUCCUAGGAACCUUUUCCACACACCCGGAGCCGGUCCAAGUAACCCGCCGGAGGCAAACUGGAUCACAACACCUGGGGCUGGGGUGCCGGUUCAACCCCGAGCCAUGGAACCACCCCGUAUGAACACUGCUCUGCCUCAUUACACACUAAUACCACCGGGUCACUUUUCUAACCCUUUGGAGAAUCUCAUCGCUGCGUCGGCUCGUUUGGCGGCUCUCCUGAUGGAAGGCGACUCUCGACGGCAAUUGAAACACGAAGGGUGAGAGAACUUCUUCAGACGGCUCUGGCACAACAGGAUGCAUACUCUUAUAGUCGAGACAGAAUCCAUUCAACCCCUCGCCCAAGCCGGAGCCCGAGCUAUAGUAGGCAUAUGGACUCAGUGACUAUGUCAAGCAAUGCCCAAUGCCAUAACCAACCGCGCAGGCAUGACCCGGCGUAGGAUGCAGCCCUUAACUUGGUGGAUCAGGAGAGGAUUCGUCAAGAGGCUGAGCGGGCGGCUGAGCUGGCGGCUCACCAGGCUUUUCCGUUUUACCCAACAACAUGUGUGGAGGCAGGAGUGGCUACAAGGACAGGGGGUGUCCCUUGCCUGGUGCCGACUUUACGUAAUGAGCGUCUACCGAAGGACUUCAAGGGGCCUCGUAAGGUGCCUAAUUACACGGCCGACUUGCAGCCCGGGGCAUGGAUUGAGAGUUAUGAAAUGGCAAUGGAGUUAUUGGAGGUCAGCGAUACAGCAAUGUCCAAGUACUUCACUAUGAUGUUAGAUGGGACAUCUCACACUUGGUUGAAAGGCUUGCCACCUAACUCCAUUGGUUCAUGGGCAGAGUUAAAAGCCCGGUUCAUUCAGAACUUCAAGGAUACAUGUAAGCAACCUAUGUCGAUUGUGGACUUACACUAGUGCAGAACCGAGCAAUAGCACCGGUUUGUAAGGCCCUUUAGUGCCAGUUCGGUAACCGGCACUAAAGGUCCCCUCCUUUAGUACCGGUUCAGCACGAACCGGUGCUAAAGGGCAACCAUGUGGCACGAGCUAGCUCCGGGGGCAGGGAGCCCUUUAGUACCGGUUGGUGACACCAACCGGUAUUAAAAGGUUGGGGGGGGGGUUGGGUUUAUGAUUUCUUUUUCAUUUAAUUUUGUGUUUUCCAUUUAAUUCUUUUUCGUUUGCUGGUAUUUUACGAUGGUACAUAUUGUACACGUUAUGCAUAUAUAUAAAUAGAAUUUCUAGUAGAACUGAUCAUAUAUAUAUAGAGAUAUAUAUAUAUAUCAUCGAAUGUCUCACAACCACCAUUAAUUCACACACAUAUACACACAUGUAUAUAUGUAUACAAUUAGGUAGCUAUAUACAAUUUCUCCUAAUUGGUGCCUUCGGAGCCAGUGGCAUUAGCCUAAUUGGUGCCUUCGGAGCACGAUGACAAUUGGAAGUGGUUCAUGGGGGCGGUAGCGGGUAAUAGUAUUCUCCUUUGGGAUCUAUGACCUGGUCGAGCAAAAAUCCCGCUAUUUCCUCUUGAAUUGCUUCUAUGCGGUCCUCUGGUAGGAGCUGCUCCCGCACCUCUUUGAACUAUUAAGAAGGAGAUCAAUAUGCAUGUGUAUUAGUUGUGUGACUAGAUAUCGAUAAUGGUGUAAAAAUUGUGAAUAGUGUUCUGACAAACGUACCCACUCCUGUCUUUGAGAUCUGCUCCUUUCGGACGCCAUCAUGAGAAUGUUCUCGCAAACGUAGUAUGCACACAGAUUAUUCCCCGGCGCCUGCUUCAGGGCCUUUACGAGAAUGGAAUUUGAUCAGAUAAUAAUUAAUCAAGCAUGAUAAUUAAAGAGAUGGCAACUAGCUAGCUAUAGUACUACUUAAUUACUUACCUUGGGUCGAUACCAUUUCAGAUUUUUUUUCCAUUGGCCUGGAGUGACGCUGAUGAACUUUGCCCAAGCCCUGCCCGCCGACAAAGAAAAUGAAUAAAGGGGUUAUUAAAUAGUUCAUAUCAGGAAAUGACGAACUAAAUAGGCUGAGAUAUAGUUAAUAAUGAUUGAAAUUACCUGUUGACUAUCCCAGACAAGAUGGUGUAGUCACUUGGUUUUUUAAGUAGUGAGUCUAGUACUUCAACUGUUCCUUCAUCAACUUUAAUGAUUAACAAGAUCCAGUGAAAUCUGCAUGCACACAUGUUUGCAUGUCUUAAUUAAGCAGGCAUAUGUAAGCAAAAACAUGUAGCUAGCUAGUAGGCAAAAACAGAAUUUGUAGUACAAGACAGUGUGACUCACUCGAAGUUGUAAGGAAGUAGUAUAUCCUCAUUGUAUUUGAGGCACUUGAAGAACUCUAGUAUGCUUCCCUCUACACUUUUUUUCGUAAUAUGGAUCUAAUUUCCAUGUGUAUUCAUUAAUGGUAUUUGGGUCAACGAACCCAAUGCCAUAUCGUCCACCUUUUUUCAUUUCAUAAAUCUUCAUCCUGCAUAAUACCACAGAAAAGAAUAUAGUGAGGAUAAUUACAGGUAAUGAUUGAUCAAAAUGAUCACUACAGCUAGCUUGAGACUUAAAUUACAGAAAGAAAUCACUUACAGACAAUGGCAACUGACGAUAGAUUUGUCGAGUGCGUCUUGAUUGUAUAAUUGAAAUAGUUCUGAAUACUCAACAUACACAACUUUCUCAUGGUAGUAAUGAUCCUUCUUGACAUUCACCAUGAGGGACUCUCUAUUGGAAAUCUUGGUAAUGUCCAUGUACCAUUGAUGCAAUUCAUACAUUCUCAUUGGGAGCUUCUUGACCUCGUCUGGCUCGACCAAAGGUUGGCCCUGGACAUAUUUCCGUUUUAUUUCCUCCUCUCUAAGCGGAGGCAUGGGCUCGAUGUCGAGGAGUUGUCCAACAGUGAUCUUGAGGAUUUUAGCCUGCCUUAUAUGCUCCUCGGUUAUUACUACAUCGCCCAGCUCGGGAACGUAAACGGUUUGCCCACAAUAAUAUUGGGCGCGCCUACUCUCAUGUGUUGUUGGCACAACAAGUAGGGGGCUUCAUUCCGCCGCCUGUUCUCCCAGCUGGGGAACGGUUUUACCGCUCCUUUUGCCAGCUGAUUUGCUCGAGCUCGAGCUCGCCUCUUUCUAUAGAUAUGCUCGAUUUAACUUCCUGAGGGGGUGCUCAUAGUCUGUGUCAACGGGCUUGGGAGCUGGUGCUCUAGCCAUACGAUCAAUCUUUUCCUCAAGCACUUUCUCCCUUGGCGGCGGUGGCGGUUUCGGUGCAAAAUGGGCUUCCACCUCGGCCUUCGAUAUGGCUGUGUUUUCCUCCUCGGACUUGUCGUAAGGCCUUUGCGGAAGAGGCGCGAGGCUGCUUGGACCAUAUUGAAAUCGCUUGCCUCCGCCUGUACCUCCAGUACUACCUCGACUUGUACCGCUACACACCAUAGCUGAGGUGGCUCUCUUCCAUGAUUGCUGAGGCGGAGAAGAUGACUAACGUGGCUGAGUUGGAGGAGGAAGAGUGGCCUGAAGCUGUGCCAGACUUGGAGGAGGAGUGGCCUGACGCUUUGCCGGACUUGGAGGAGGAGGAGUGGCCUAAAGCUGUGCCGGACUUGGAGGAGGAGUGGCCUGGCGCGUUGGUGGACUUGGAGGAGCGGGAGUCUACUGAUUCAGUGGCGGACUUUGACGAGGAGUCGGAUGACGCGGUGUCGGUGGCCUUCAAAAGAUGAUGCAAUCCUUUCUCCAUAGGAUGAUACGAUGGUUGGCCUCUCCCAGUGUGUGCUCCUCGUCACCUCUAGGAAUGUCAAGCUCUAGCCCCGAAUAUUGGUCCACCACCUCAUCAACCAAGACACGAGCAUAGCCCGCUGGAAUCGGGUUGCAAUGGAAGGUUGCCUCGGGGGGAUUUGUAAAAGCAACGGCGUCUGCCACUGGGUAGCUAUCCAGCAAUGCGUCAACCGGGGCGGAACCCACACUGCUUCUCGGCAUGGAUAGGACGGUGCUAUCCAAUGUUGGAUCAUCCGCUAGCUGCUGCAGCUGCUGAGACCCCCUUUGCUGGCUAAGUGAGUCAAUCUACUCCUGCUACCGCUGGAAUUUGACUGCCAAGUACGCGUGCGCUGAUUCUAGGCCUUGAAGGCGUUCAUAGUCCAGCUUCCUCUGCUCCUCCUCCAUCUUCCUCUUCUUCUCCUCCGCAAUCUUCUUUCUCGCACGGGUUCUGUAGUCGGUGUUCCAGUUCGAAAACCCCUCAUACCACGGAUUAGCGCCCUUGCCUCGUGUUCUUCCCGGGUGUUCAGGAUUUCCCAGGGCACGCGUAAGCUCGUCGUUCUCUCUGUUGGGCUCGAACACCCCCGAUCGAGCCUCUUAUAUUGCAACAAGUAGCUUAUCUUCGGCUCCGUCCAGACAUGCCUUCUUCGAAACUUUGCCUGUCUUCGGGUCCAACUCCCCCCCCAUGCGCAUAGAACCAAGUCCUGCACCUGGGGGGGGGGCAGCUCAAUGUUUCUGGAGUGACACCUGCAUCCUCCAUCUCUUUCUCAGACUUAUCCCACUUAGGCAUUCCCACCGCAUAGCCACCUGUCCCCAGCUUAUGGAACUUAUCCUUUUUUGCGGCAUUGGCCUUGUUUAUUCUUGAUUGUUCCUUAGAUAAUUCCAAAUCCUUGAAUUUCACGAAAUCGUCCCAACGAGCACUUUGCUUCUCUAGUGUUCCCUCGAAUACUGGAGUCUUCCUUCCUCCCUUGACGUACUUGUCCCAUACACGAUUCUUGUGGUUGUUGAAUGCAACCGCCAUCUUCCUAAGAGUAGCGUCCUUGACUUUCUCCACAUCUGCAUCUGUGAAAUGAUCUGGUAGGGUGAAAUGUUCCAUGAGCGUUUCCCAAAGCAGAAGUUUUUGUCUGUCGUCGACAAAAGUAACUCCUGGACGUGGCUUUGCUAGCUCUCUCCAUUCUUGAAGGGAGAUCGGGAGUUGGUCCUUCACAAGAACUUCGCACUGACGAAUGAACUUGUCCGCAAUCUUCUUAGGCGCUAAUGGUUCGCCAUUAGGUUUGAUGGCCUCGAUAUUGUACUUUAUGCCCUCCUUCAACUUUUUGUUCGGGCUUCGUACUGUCCUCCUGCCUGAAGAUUUGCCCGAUCCGAAUGGCUGAAAGAAGAAAGAUUGAUUCAUUAAUAUAUAUCUUCAAGUCAUUUAAAACAUGUGAUGAUCACCAGAUGCCUGCUUAUAUAAAUAUACAUCGCCGGUCUUUGUUGUUUCAAGAUCAACAUUUUCUUCGUCAUGUUCAUAGUUCAUGACUUCAUCAAUUCGGUCGUCGCGAUCGAAUAUCAUAUCACCCUCCCCGGUGUUGUUUAGAUAUUCAGAGCCGUCAUAAUCUUCUUCAUUGUGAUCAUCAUCUGGCCCGCGAGGAUUGCGUAUGAUAUUGAACAGGGCCUCUUCUCCCUCUCUGCCGGUAUUGUCCGCCAUAAGUUUUAUUUAACUAAUCCAAAAGAAAUAUAUUCAAAUUACAAUGCAUGGAUGCAAGCACUUAAUAAGGAAAAACUGAAUCAAUCAUAGUACAUAAUAAGCAUCAUUGAAUAUAAUCUCAAAUACGUCAUCUCGAAUAAUAGAUAUAAUCUUGAAUACAUCGUCUCGAAUAAUAUAUAUAAUCUCGAAUAAAUCAUCUCGAAUAUUAUAUAUCGAAUACAUCACUAACUAGCUAGCUAGCUAAUAAAGAUCGAAUACUAGAGAGUAAUCUAGGCGGUGGACAACCAAAGUGAAGGAACCAUCAUUGGAUCAUAGCUCGGGUGAUCUCCCCAAAGAACCUGCCAGGUAUUGGAGAACCUGACGUCCAUAGCAGCCAUGUAGCGAUGGACGUGCUCGUCCUCCUCCCUGACACGACGACAUACCACCUCCGGCGGGGCCGGCUCCCUCCGCACCGAAAGUGGCCCACGCAAACGCCACCAAAGGAGAUGAGGGUCGACGACGGGACCCGGGGUCGGGUUCCUCACCAAGCGUCGCACCCCUGAAGAUAGCACCUCCCAGUGCCAGCCCAGCGGAGCCCAGUCCCGGACAUGGGUCCUCUAAAGUAGGACGUCGUCGCGAACGGGUCGACGGCGAGGAUGCAGGCCGGGCAUCGUCGACAACAGAUACUAUAUGCAAAUGUAACACUAAUUAUGCUAUCAUUGCAUAUGUCAAAAUUCUAUAUGCUAUUUCAUACUAAUUAAGCAUCUAACACUAAAAACAGAAAAGACAACUUCUAUACAUCCAUUAAAAAACAGAAAACAACAUUAUAUAAAAAAAUUCCAUACUAAUUAAACACUAAUUAUAUCCAUCUAACAUGCAUUCAUACAUAUAUAUACUAGUGAAAAAAUAAUAAUCUAAAAAAUCAAAACUAAUUAAACAUACAAAAUACGUAUAUACUAAUUAACUUAAGGAAAUGUGUGUGUGUGUGUGUGUGUGUUCNNNNNNNNNNNNNNNNNNNNNNNNNNNNNNNNNNNNNNNNNNNNNNNNNNNNNNNNNNNNNNNNNNNNNNNNNNNNNNNNNNNNNNNNNNNNNNNNNNNNNNNNNNNNNNNNNNNNNNNNNNNNNNNNNNNNNNNNNNNNNNNNNNNNNNNNNNNNNNNNNNNNNNNNNNNNNNNNNNNNNNNNNNNNNNNNNNNNNNNNNNNNNNNNNNNNNNNNNNNNNNNNNNNNNNNNNNNNNNNNNNNNNNNNNNNNNNNNNNNNNNNNNNNNNNNNNNNNNNNNNNNNNNNNNNNNNNNNNNNNNNNNNNNNNNNNNNNNNNNNNNNNNNNNNNNNNNNNNNNNNNNNNNNNNNNNNNNNNNNNNNNNNNNNNNNNNNNNNNNNNNNNNNNNNNNNNNNNNNNNNNNNNNNNNNNNNNNNNNNNNNNNNNNNNNNNNNNNNNNNNNNNNNNNNNNNNNNNNNNNNNNNNNNNNNNNNNNNNNNNNNNNNNNNNNNNNNNNNNNNNNNNNNGGCCCGGGGCGGCGACGGAGACGAGGGCGGUGACGAGGAUGGGGGCGGCGACGGGGGCAGGGCGGUGACGGGGAUGAGGGCGGCGACUGGGAUGGGGGCGGCGACGGCAACGACACGCGACGGGGGUGGCGCGGGACGGGGGCGGCGACGGGGACGGGGGCGGCGACGGCGUUGAUCGAUCGGGGCGGGCGGUGCUUCAAUGGGGAAACAGAGGAAGAAACGGAGGGAGAAUGAAAAUUUUCAAAGUGAUGUAUAUAUAGAAGGCACGUUUAGUACCGAUUGAAGCCACCACCCGGUACUAAAGGGCGCAGAAGUCUAGUCCCACCUCGCUAGCCGAAGGGCGCUCGCACCUGCUUAUAAGCCCUGCCACCGCUGCUGUCUCGAGCUCCUCUCUAAAGUAGGCCUUCUGGGCCUACCUCUGCUACUCUGCCCUGUGGGGCCUAUUGGGCUUGCGGGCCUGCAUCCUGGCCCAACAAAAGGUUGGGUUUCUAGUCGUAUGCAGGCCGCUGUGGCCCAGUAGGUGGGCUUUUUUUCAUUUAGUUUUUUAUUUUCUGCUUUAUUUAUUUUGUUUUAUUUAUUUUUAGUUGUUUUUUGCUGUAUUUAGAGUUUCUUUGUGAAUAUUUUUGAUAGUUUUUAGAAACUUUCAGUUAGUGCUGGUAGUUUUUAAAUUUGAAUAGUUUAAAUUUUGAAUUAUUUAAAAUUUGUGUGAAUCACUAGUUUGUGAAUAACUUAACUUAAAAAAUACAUUUUUCAGUGAUUCUUUUUUAUUAUGUUUAAUAUUAGUGUGUUUUAUCAUUAUAUUCAAUUUGGUAAUGCUUAGGUUAUUUAAAAAUGAAAUGCCUUUUUAGCUGAAAAAAUUAGUAAAGGCAUGAAAGAAUUUGUUUGCACAUAAAAUUUCUUCGCAUUUCAAAUGCCAAAACACAUAACUACCCUAACUAUUACAGAGAUUCCCUCCUAGGUGUGAAACACACAAGAAAGUGAUGAUAGUGAAGCCAAUCACAUCCCAGAUCUUUGGGUGUGAAACUUUUUCUUCGCGUGUGUCCCUUUGCGCCGUAACCAUGGAAAAUCUUCAUCAUUUAACGGGAUGCUCGGGUCAAUAUUCACUGUGAAUGGAGCAAUUUCAUCAAACUUUUCAUAAUCUCCUGACAUAUCUGUCUUGUCAUCCACUCCCACAAUGUUUCUCUUCCCAGAAAGAACUAUGUGCCGCUUUGGCUCAUCGUAUGAUGCAUUCGCUUCCUUAUCUUUUCUUUUUCUCGGCUUGGUAGACAUGUCCUUCACAUAGAAAACCUGUGCCACAUCAUUGGCUAGGACGAAUGGUUCGUCUAUAUACGCAAGAUUGUUGAGAUCCACUGUUGUCAUUUCGUACUGCAGGUCUUUCGUUACCCCGCCUCGUGUCGUAUUGACCCAUUUGCACCGAAACAAAGGGACCUUCAAACCACAUCGAUAGUCAAGUUCCCAUAUGUCAUGUAUAUAACCAUAAUAUGUUUCCUUUCCCGUCUUGGUUUCUGCAUCAAAGCGGACACCAUUGUUUUGGUUGGUGCUCUUCUUAUCUUGGGCGAUCGUGUAAAAUGUAUUACCAUUUAUCUCGCACCCUUUGAAAGUCAUUAUAUUCGAAGAUGGUAACUGAGACAGCAAGUACAUGUCAUCUUCAAUAGAGGCGUCAUGCAUGGUACGUGUCUGCAACCAGCUGGCGAAACUCCUGGUUUGUUCACGUGUAAUCCAGUCAUCAGACCGCUCCGGGUGUUUGGAGCGUAGAAAAUUCUUGUGUUCAUCCAUAUACGGAGCCACCAAGGCGGAAUUUUGUAGAACUGUGUAGUGUGCUUCAGUGAGAGAAUGUCCGUCCAUACAUAUUAUUUGUUUUUUUGACAGAAAGACUGUAAGGGAACCCCUUACAGUAUAAUUGGUGCAACAAACCCAAAUUGCAAGUACCAUGCCUUGAACCUGGGUGGGUGGGAAGGCAUCAGCCCCUUCCCACCACUAGGCUAUGCCUUAGUCUGCCAUACAUAUUAUUUGUUCCCCUCCUAGCGUGCCUUUUCCAUCCAGUCUGCCCUUAUGCUGCGAUUCAGGAACACCAAUCGGCUUAAGGUCAGGAAUAAAGUCAAUACAAAACUCAAUGACCUCCUCAUUUUCAUGGCCCUUGGAGAUGCUUCCUUCUGGCCUAGCACGGUUAUGAACAUAUUUCUUUAAGACUCCCAUGAACCUCUCAAAGGGGAACAUAUUGUGUAGAAAUACAGGACCCAAAACAUUAAUCUCUUCGCAUAGGUGAACUAGGACGUGUGUCAUGAUGUUGAAGAAGGAUGGUGGGAACACCAACUCAAAACUGACAAGACAUUGCACCAAAUCAUUCUCUAACCUUGGUAUGAUUUCUGGAUCGAUUACCUUCUGAGAGAUUGCAUUGAGGAAUGCACAUAGCUUCACAAUGGCUAAUUGAACGUUUUCCGGUAGAAGCCCCCUCAAUGCAACAGGAAGCAGUUGCGUCAUAAUCAUGUGGCAGUCAUGAGACUUUAGGUUCUAGAACUUUUUCUCUGCCAUGUUUAUUAUUCCCUUUAUAUUCGACGAGAAGCCAGACAGUACCUUAAUACUGAGCAGGCAUUCAAAGAAGAUUUCCUUCUCUUCUUUGGUAAGAGCGUAGCUUGCAUGACCCUGAUGUAUGCCGUAUUUUCUGUGCAUACGUUGCUGGUCCUCCCGUGCCUCAGGUGUAUCUUUUGUCUUCCCAUACACGCCCAAGAAGCCAAGCAGGGUCACACAAAGAUUCUUCGCCACGUGCAUCACGUCGAUUGUGGAGCGGACCUCUAGGUCUUUCCAAUAGGGCAGGUCCCAAAAUAUAGAUUUCUUCUUCCACAUGGGUGCGCGUCCGUCAGCGUCAUUCGGAACAGGUUGUCCACCAGGACCCUUUCCAAAGACCACCUUCAAAUCGUUGACCAUAUCAUGUACAUCAGCACCAGUACGGUGGCGAGGCUUUGUCCGGUUAUCCGCCUCACCUUUGAAAUGCUUGCCUUUCUUUCUUAUGGGAUGCCUGCUCGGAAGAAAUCGACGAUGUCCCAGGUACACAUUCUUCUUACAAUUAGCCAAAUAUAUACUGUCGGUAUCGUCCAAACAGUGCGUGCAUGCGCGGUAUUCCUUAUUUGUCUGUCCUGAAAGGUUAUUGAGAGAAGGCCAAUCAUUGAUGGUCACGAAUAGCAACGCCUUUAGGUCAAAUUCUUCCCCGAUGUGCUCAUCUCACGCACGUACACAUGUUCCAUUCCACAGUUGUAAGAGUUCUUCAACUAAUGGCCUUAGGUACACAUCAAUGUCGUUGCCGGGUUGCUUAGGGCCUUGGAUGAGCACUGGCAUCAUAAUGAACUUCCGCUUCAUGCACAACCAAGGAGGAAGGUUAUACAAACAUAGAGUCACAUGCCAGGUGCUAUGGUUGCUGCUCUGCUCCCCAAAAGGAUUAAUGCCAUCUGCGCUUAGACCAAACCAUACGUUCCUUGCAUCAUCUGCAAACUCCUUCCCAUACUUUCUUUCGAUUUUUCUCCACUGCAACCCGUCAGCGGGUACUCUCAACCUUCCGUCUUUCUUACAGUCUUCUCUGUGCCAUUGCAUCGCCUUGGCAUGCUCUUUGUUUUGGAACAAACAUUUCAACCGUGGUAUUAUAGGAGCAUACCACAUCACCUUGGCAGGAAUCUUCUUCCUGGGGCGCUCGCCCUCGACAUCACCAGGGUCAUCACGGAUGAUCUUAUAGCGCAAUGCACCGCAUACCGGGCAAGCAUUCAAAUCCUCGUACUCACCGCGGUAGAGGAUGCAAUCAUUAGGGCAUGCACGUAUCUUCUGCACCUCUAACCCUAGAGGGCAGACAACCUUCUUUGCUUCGUACGUACUCUCGGGCAAUUCAUUGUCCUUUGGAAGCAUACUCUUUAUCAUUACCAGCAACUUUCCAAAUCCCUUGUCAGAUACACCAUUCUCUGCCUUCCACUGUAGCAAUUCCAGUGUGGUGCCCAUCUUUUUCUUGUCACCUACGCAAUUCAGGUACAACAAUUUUUUGUGAUCCUCUAACAUGUGCUGCAACUUCUUCUUCUCCAAAUCACUUGCGCAGUUUCUCUUUGCAUCGGCAAUGGCCUGACCUAGAUCAUCAACGGGCUCAUCCGAUGCCUCUUCUUCAGCUUCUUCCUGCAUUGCCAGCUCAGCUUCUUCCCGCAAUACCGGCUCAGCUUCUUCCCUCAUUGUUGUAUCGUCAUAUUUCAGGGAACCCAUGGCCAGGAUAGCUGUCGUCGUCGUCCUCUUCUUCUUCAUUGUCUUCCGUCAUAACCCCUCUUUCUCCAUGCUUGGUCCAAACAUUAUAGUGGGGCAUGAAACCAGACUCAAACAGGUGGACGUGAAUGGUUCUUGACGUAGAGUAGUUGUGACCAUUCUUACAGCCAGCACAUGGACAAGGCAUAAAACCAUCUGCCCGCUUGUUUGCCUCAGCCGCAAGCAGAAAAGUAUGCACACCAUUAAUGAACUCGCGAGAGCAUCGGUCAUCGUACAUCCAUUGCCGGCUCAUCUUCAAUACAUAGCACCAAAAACACCAAUUUAAUACAAUACGUAAAGUUCAUACAUAAAGUUCAUACAACACUUAAAUGCAACAAACAAAUAACUCUCUAGCUAAAGAAUUUAAAUGCAACAACAAAUGCGAUCAAGAUUGCAACUAAGGUAACAAUUGAUCCAACAACAUAAUGAUACCAAGCCUCACUAUGAAUGGCAUAUUUUCUAAUCUUUCUAAUCUUCAAGCGCAUUUUCUCCAUCUUAAUCUUGUGAUCAUCGACGACAUCGGCAACAUGCAACUCCAAUUCCAUCUUCUCCCCCUCAAUUCUUUUCAAUUUUUCUUUCAAAUCCUCGUUUUCUCUUUCAACUAAAUUUAACCUCUCGACAAUAGGGUCGGUUGGAAUUUCUAGUUCAACUACCUCCUACAUACAAAUAUCUAUGUCAGCUUGAUGGGCAUAAUUUGUCAUAAACACGAAAUGCAACAAAUAGUUUCAAAAGAGAAUAUACCACAUCCGAAUCAUAACAAGGGCGAGGGCCGACGGGGACGGAUAUCAAAACCAUGGCAGUAUGUAUAACAAACAACGUACGAGUAAGAUAAUUAUACGAGUAACUAUAUAUCCAAAUCACACAAACAUCAAUUUUUUAUAUAAAAUUUUAUGAACAAGAGGCUCACCACAAGGUGGUGCCGGCGACGGUACAGUGCGGGCGAUCGAUGGUGGUUACGACGGAGAUUUAGAAGGCACUAAGUAAACCACACCUACAUAUGCAAACUAAGUGUUAUUUUGACCUCAAUUUGCAUAUAAAUCAAAUACUACCACAUAUAAUUCCUCCCAAAUUACUAAAACCCACAAUUAAUCACUAUAUAAACCAAUGCAAGAGCUAAUCUAGCAAUGAGAGAUGAAAGGACAAAGUUGCUAACCUUUGUGAUCAUUUGAAUGGAUGGGGGCCUGCAAAUAUUGACAAAUUUGGGGCAAAUUUUGUGAUGAACUUGAGAGGAAGAAGGGAAGAACCGAGGAGAGGGAGAGGGGAAAGGGGGAAGAACAGAGUGCUGGUGGACGAAGGGUUUAUAUAGGACGACCUUUAGUACCGGUUCGUGGUACAAACCGGUACUAAAGGUGCUGGAGGGGCCCCACUCUGACAACAUCCUGCCACCACUCUCAUUAGUACCAGUUCGUUGCACAAACCGGUGCUAAAGGUUCGCCACGAACCGGUACUAAAGAGCUCCUCCCGCCUAGCCAUUGGAACCGGCACUAAUGGACACAUUAGUGCCAGUUCUGUUAUAAACCGGGACUAAUGUGUCACACAUUUGACCCUUUUUCUACUAGUGUUAACUAAUUGUAAGCAAGAGGAAGGCGAAUCCACGACUCAUUGGGUGCGCCGGGUCAAGGAAAUCAUACAUUCAUCUGAUAAGAUGGAUGCCGACUCUGCGGUCAUAAUGUUGGAGAAAAAUUGCCGUUUUGAACCUCUGAAGCAGAAGCUGGGGCAGCUCAAACGUGAUUGUAAUGACAUGGGCCAGUUGAUGGCGGCUCUGGUCAAAUAUGCUGAUUCUGACAGUACCAAGGAUCCUGCGUCGGACGAAGAGAAGACAGGGAAGUGAAAGAAGAACGGCAACGACAAGGAUCACCAGCAUAACCCGGCGAGUCAGGGAGGUAAUAAACGUAAGGCUGACGAGUUUGUGGCUAACACCAAUGCACAGGGCAACAACCAACGGCGCAAGGGGAGACAACCUCCUUGGUCAGGCGGAUCAGGUCCCACCCUCAAGCAACUACUAAAUGAACCCUGUCCGAGACACGGCACCCGGGAGAAGCCGGCUACCCAUCUAUGGAAAGACUGUACGAUCAUGAAAGCUUUUAAGAAUUCUAACAUGUUCGAUGGUAACCACGGGCCUGGCGGUGGUUCAGGCGGUGGCGGUUUUCAUGGCCCGGGCACCGGCUCAGGCGGUGGCGGUUUUCAUGGCCAGGGCGCCGGCUCAGGCGGUGGUGGUUUUCAAGGCCAGGGUCAUCCGGGUAGUCAAGGCGGCUAUAAUCAGCAAUCCGUCCAAGGUAAUCAACAUCAGCAACAGUCCGGGUAUCAGAGUAACCCAAAACAGUUGAACAGUGGGUAAUACCAUGUGUUUACCACCAGUUUUUGCAAAAGGGACCAGAAACUUCAUAAGAGGGCUGUAAAUGCUAUUGAGUCGGUGGUUCCACGGUAUUUGAGAUGGUCUGAACAGCCUAUUGUGUGGAGUAGGGAAGAUCACCCUCCUCGGGUUGAUAACCCGAGUCAUUUGGCUUUGGUGGUGGCGCCUCAGGUUGGUGGAUAUAAGUUCACUAAGGUACUCAUGGACGGAUGCAGUAGCAUCAACAUCCUCUAUUAUGAGACAUUCCGUCGCAUGGGAUUGACUGAUAAGAGUCUUAAAACAUCCAACGUUGUGUUUCAUGGGGUAGUGUCUGGUAAGUCGGCGUACCCGGUUGGUAAGAUUGAGCUGGAAGUAGCCUUUGGGGACGAGUAUGAUUCUAGGGCUGAGAAGUUGACUUUUGAAGUAGUUAAGAUCAAAAGCCCAUAUCACGCUCUGUUUGGACGACCGACUUAUGCUAAGUUCAUGGCUCGGCUGUGUUAUGUGUAUUUGCAGCUCAAAAUGCCGGGUUAUAAAGGCACUAUCACAGUACAUGGAAGCUGUAAAAUAGCCCUGGAAUGUGAAUAAGGUGAUGCCGCUUAUGCCAAGUCUGUUUGUGCAACAAAGGAAUUGAAGUUUUAUAAGGAUAAUGUUCACCCGGCAGAUAUGACGUCUUUAAAGAAGCUAACUACGGAACAUGAGCCGGCAUUGAAAUUCAAGUCAGCUGAUGACACCAAGAUGGUUGAUUUUGUGCCUGGCAACUCAUCCAAACAGUUCAUUAUCAGUGCUAACUUGGAUCCGAAAUAGGAAGGCGCACUCAUCGAGUUCAUCCGUGAGAGCUGGGACAUCUUUGCAUGGAAGCCUUCUGACAUGCCGGGUGUCCCGGGAGAACUCGGUGAGCACACUCUCAAUAUUGAUCCAAAGUUUAAGCCGGUCAGGCAUUUUCUUCGACGGUUCAAGGAAAGGCGCAAAGCUAUUGGAGAAGAGGUGGCCCGGCUCUUGGCGGCUGGGUUCAUUGUUGAGGUUUUUCACCCAGAGUGGUUGGCUAACCUGGUGCUUGUACUCAAAAAGAACGGCACCAGGCGUAUGUGUGUGGAUUACACCGAUUUAAACAAGGCUUGUCCGGCUGAUCCUUUUGCUCUCCCUCGUAUUGAUCAAAUCAUUGAUGCUAUGGCGGGAUGUGAGCGUUUGAGUUUUUUGGAUGCUUAUUCUGGUUAUCAUCAGAUCAAGAUGGCAGUUAAGGACCAGGAGAAGACAGCUUUCAUCACUUCGUUUGGAGCCUUCUGCUAUGUGUCUAUGCCUUUUGGGCUUAAGAGUGCCCAGGCAACUUAUCAACGGUGUGUGCAGAAUUGCCUUCACAAUCAGAUUGGGCGUAAUGUUCAUGCUUAUGUGGAUGAUAUAGUGGUGAAAUCCAGAGAAAAGGAAACCUUGGUAACUGAUCUAAAGGAAACCUUUGAUAACCUCCGGGUCUACAAGAUGACGCUUAACCCGGCCAAGUAUGUUUUUGGAGUCCCAGCUGGCAAGCUCUUGGGUUUUUUGGUGUCUAACAGAGGCAUUGAGGCUAACCCGGAGAAAAUUAAGGCAAUUACAUCUUUGGCUAAACCGGUGUGCAUCAAUGACAUUCAGCGGCUGGCAGGUCGCGUCGCAGCUUUAAGCCGGUUCAUAAGCCGGUUAGGGGAGAAGGCUAUGCCAUUGUAUCAAAUGAUGAAAAAAGGCAGAUGACUUUGUCUGGAGUGACGCUGCUAACUCUGCUUUUGAGGAUCUGAAAAAAUAGCUCACUGAGCCGCCGGUUCUUGGUGCUCCGGUUGAGAAGGAGCCAUUGUUGUUAUAUGUGGCUGCUAACUCACGUGCUGUCAGUGUGGCCAUUGUGGUGGAACACAAAGAGGCUGGCAAGGAACAUCCGGUUCAACGGUCGGUUUACUACGUCAGCGAGGUACUCAUUGAGUCUAAACAAAGGUAUCCUCAUUGGCAGAAGCUUGUUUAUGGGGUGUUCAUGGCAAGCCGGAAGCUCAAGCAUUACUUUCAGGGUCACCCAAUCACUGUGGUUAGAUCUGCUCCUCUCGGAGACAUUAUUCAAAAUAGAGAAGCCACAGGACGAGUCACCAAGUGGGCCAUUGAACUUGGGUCUCAUGGUUUAAAGUAUGUGCCACGUACUGCGAUCAAAUCUCAAGCGCUGGUUGACUUCAUUAACGACUAUACAGAGUUGCAGAUACCAGAGGAGAAGCCAGACAACACAUAUUGGACGAUUCAUUUUGAUGAGUCCAGACAAUUGGAAGGCUCGGGGGCCAGAGUUGUUCUGACUUCUCCUCGAGGUGACAAAUUUUGUGUUACGAUUGAUGUUUCCUUGCACUAACAACGCAGCUGAGUAUGAGGCCUUGCUUCAUGGUCUUCGAAUGUCUAAGGAAAUGAGUUUAAGCCGGGUACGAUGCCUAGGUGACUCGGAUCUAGUGGCUCAACAAGUAUCAGGCAAGUGGGACUCCAACGAUCCUCUCAUGGAGGCUUAUCUCCGUGAGGUCAACGCUGUUGCUGGGCACUUCAAGGGUUAUCAAGUGGAACACAUUGACCAUAGAAAGAGCGAAGCGGCCGAUGCCUUGAGCCGGUUGGGAUCUCAGCGUAAGCCGGUGACACCCAACACCUUUUUAGAUGUUCUACAUAACCCUUCUGUUAAGUUGCCUACAAAGGAAGACUUGGCCGUGACUGACCCGGAGGCACAGUUGGUGGCGGCUCUUCGUGUUAUUCCAGAUUGGACAAUACCAUUUUUGGCUUACAUGACCCGGGGCGAGUUGCCAGAGGAUGAGACCUUAGCUCGACAGAUAACCCGGCGGUCCAAGUCAAUUACAAUUUCUGAUGGUGAGUUGUAUCAUCGCAGCGUCACUAGAGCGUUUCAAUGUUGUGUCUCUCCUAAAGAAGGUCAAGAAAUUCUUCGUGAGAUCCAUGAAGGGGAUUGUGGUCAUCACGCCAGGUCAAAGUCUCUUGUGGCCAAAGCUUUUCGUCAUGGCUUUUACUGGCUAACAGCUCAUGCUGAUGCGGAGGAUCUAGUCAGUAGGUAUGAUGGAUGUCAAAAAUUUGCACGACGAGCACACGUGCCGGCUCAAGAGUUGCGGAUGAUUCCAAUCACUUGGCCAUUUGCAGUCUUGGGCUUGACAUGGUUGGACCUUUCAAAAGGUCCAAGGAUAAAAAGACACAUCUUUUGGUGGUAGUUGACAAAUUCACAAAAUGGGUUGAGGCAGAGCCGGUCAGUAAGUGUGAUGCAGCCACGACGGUUCAGUUCAUGAAAAAGGUGAUCUUUCGUUUUGGCUUUCCACACAACAUUAUAACUAAUAAUGGUACUAAUAUGUCCAAAGGCGCUAUGGAGGAGUUUUGUCAACGCGAGCAUAUCCGACUUGAUGUGUCGUCAGUAGCUCACCCCCAAUCCAAUGGUCAAGCUGAGAGAGCAAAUUAGGAAAUCUUAAAAGGUCUCAAGCCCCAGCUUAUGGUUCCUUUACAGCAGACGCCGGGUUGUUGGGUAAAGGAAUUACCCUCAGUCCUAUGGAGCAUCAAUACCACUCCUAACAGGUCUACAGGUUAUACACCUUUCUUCAUGUUUUAUGGAGCAGAGGCAGUCCUGCCUAAUGACAUCCGUCACGACUCGCCCCGUGUGGCGGCUUACGUUGAAACUGACAAUAAACAAGCCCGACAGGAUGCACUUGACUUAUUAGAUGAGGAGCGAGAUUUGGUAGCGGCCCGAUCAGCAAUUUAUCAAUAGGACCUGCGCCGCUAUCACAGCCGCCGGGUUAAGUCCAAAACCUUUCAAGAAGGUGACCUGGUGCUCUGGCUCAUCCAAGAUCAGUCUGAUGCACACAAGCUAUCUCCACCUUGGGAAGGACCCUUUGUGGUCGGCAAAAACUUAAACAAUGGGUCAUAUUACCUUAUCGACAUUCGAGAGCACAAAGACUCACGUAAGUCGGAGGAGGAGACUCGUCGGCCGUGGAAUAUUGCUCAGCUUCGGCCAUACUAUACCUGAGUCACCAGCUCUCGUCAUGUACAUACUUUGACAUUGUAUAUAUUAUGAUAAGUAAUAAAGCAGGACCUCUGUCCUUUUCCUCUUCAAUGAUCAUAUAUCUUUAUUGUUUUCAUUAUUCAAAUGACUAUUAGGGGGCAGAUCGUAUCCGAAUCUAGCUUAACCCUUUUGGUCCGGCUCAAGGUCGUAUUCGAAUCUAGCUGUAAACCUCAUGGUCACUAGGGGGCUUCCUAUUCAAACAUAGGUCGUAUUCGAACCAAAGAGAACAUAGCUAUCGUAACCCUCUUGAUCGGCACAAAGCCAAACUCACUAGGGGGCUUCCUGAUCGUAUCUGAAUCAUAGCUUCACCCCUUUUGGGUCCGACUUGGAUCGUAUUCGAAUUAGGGUCGUUAGAAACCUCUCAAGGUCAUUUGGGGGCUUCCUGUUCAAACAUAGGUCGUAUUCGAACCAAAGAGAACAUAGCUGUCGGUACCCUAUUGAUCGGCGCAACGCCAAAGCCACUGGGGGCUAUAUGAUCGUAUUCAAAUCUUAACUUAACCCCUUUGGUCCGGUUUACUGAUCGUAUUCGAAUCAGAAGCCUCCAAAUUUAUUUAAAUGUUUAAUUUACAUUGUCUGAAGUCUAUUGUUUUGUCUUACUGGGUUUUGUUGUCUCAAAUCUAACUGUCAGAAUGGUUUUAAUUUAAAACCGGCUUGGUUAUUUGACAAUGAGUCGCCAAGGCAUAACAGUCAUCAGGCAUAUGGAAGCAUUGACUUCUAAAACAGAUUGGGUUAUCAGCCUCACUGUCCGGGUUAUGAAAGCCGACAGUCCCGAUUCAAAGAAUACAUGUAUGACAGUGUCAUUCAAAAACAGACUUAUCUGUGUUUUUUCCAUUAAUCAAAGGUUUUCUCAACCUUGUUUAUCUUGCAUCUGGUUCUGUUUUUUCCACUAUGAUAAUUUCAUAGUUAUAUAUCGGGUGUUUUGACCCGUCCGGCGCUAAACUGCCAGGACAGUUUUUUCAUCUCUUACAGGAACAAAAUUAAACAUUACAGAUGUGAUCAUGGAUGUAAUGCAUAUAUAUUAAACAUCAUGGGCAAAGAGUCAUAUGCAACAUCUUAUGCAUGAUGUCAUAAGAAAAACAUGCAGUUUUCAAACUAACCUAUUACAAGGCAUUGAAAGCCUAAAAGGUAAGACUGUUUUCUUUCUUAAACUAAAAAGUGGAUUGUUCAGACGGUCAUUGCUCCUCCCUCGCCGGUUCACCUCCUUCCAUUGAUUCAAAGCUGGGCUUCGACCAAUCAAAGCCGUUAACUAUGAGAAACUCAACUUCCUUGUCAAUCAAGCCAGCUGGGUCAAUUUCCGGGGCAAAGGUAUGUUGGCGAACCGACGGGAUAAGAUAUGUCACUUUAUAGGAGGGAGCCGUCAUUCUCUUAUUCUCCAUAUCAAAACCCGGCUGAUAUUUGUCGACAUUGAUCUCUUCGCCAAGUAUGGUAGCUUCAGAACGGACUCCCCUCACACAGGCAAUGAAGUCAUCUUGUUCAAACGAGGUCCCAUCUUCUUUCAAGGUAGGGUACCCCCUGAGCACGUCCGCGGGGUCUAAUUCUGGCACCCAAGCUUUGCAGCGGCUCAGGGCAGUCAGCGCUCCGGCUCUUGCACAAGACUGUUUGGCUUCCUUGAAUCUGGCGGGUAAGAUGGACAGCUUCUUCAAAACAUCACUUAAACGAUUGGGUCCUUGGUUGACAGGGGAGAUAGCAGCAAGUGCCCGUUGAGCCCCCGUGUACAUUUGUUCCACCAAGGUGUAAACCGCCUUCAGUUUUGUCACACUGUCUUGGCUCAGGUUGUUACUCCACGGACCUGUGAGUGUUUAACAAAGGUUAAGCAAGCGGCUUACAUUCCUAGUAACAAUAAAGUAUAAGUGACUUAUGCAAAUAACUCACCGAAGAUGGUGGAGACCAUCUGAGACACACGAUUUUUUGAGCUGGUGAGCUCUGUAGUAACCUCCUCAAGAGCCGCCUCAGCAGUCUCGGCACGUUGUAUCAGCAACGUAUUUUCUUCGGCCCAGGACUUCUUCUUCGCAGUCAAACUGGUCUUCAAUUUUUCCUGUCUCAGAGAGGCUCACUUGGAGUUUGGAGUCAACAGUCUUGAUUUCCGCCUCUUGAUCCGCCAGCCGGGUCUUUGCAUCCGUCAAUUGAGAGCCCAAUUCAGCUAGGGCAUUCUACAAAACAUUCACAGGUGUGUCAAUAUUUAAACUAAAAGUUAUAAGGAUUCAAGUCUCAAGUACUUUGCAACACAACACCACUUGACACUUGGGGGCUAAUGUCUGCCAGAGCAAUUUUUUAUACUUCAUGACUCUUCUAUGCUUCAAGUCCCAAGUGUUUUACAAAGUAACAACGCUUGGCACUUGGGGGCUAAUGCAUGAUAUUCAGAAAGUUUUUCAAGUUGAUUCGGAUCACAAUAUUUAUCUGGACUGAUAAAAGACAGUUAUGAAAUUAAGUAUCGGUUCAUUUAUGAUAAAUUGAGCCGACCCUUGGGGACUACAGGUGAAGUUUAUACUAAUAGGUUGCACUUCAGAAAAAAUCUAAAGAUAAAGCUUUAAACUAUAUCAUAAGUCUACAGAUCAUUCAGGUUCAUCAUAAUCUAAAGACUUGGGGGCUGGCAGAGUAUAAGUAAGCGGGAGAACAUACCUCAUAUUUCAGCUACAAUUGCUUGACCAUCUCGAUUUCCAAGUCACGGCUAGAGUGCACAUGACUGAGAUAGUCGGACAACACAUCAUUGACAUUGAGGUGAGCGUAAUGCGAGACAUCAAACCGCACCUUCUGCCUCUCUAAGGCCUCUUGCUUAGCAUUAUGCCAGGCUAGUAUAGUGGGGUUCCCUAGCUCAACAAACCAGCUACCGGUAAUCAAGACAUUAGUGUCAGAAGUUGUCGACGGGUUAGCUGAGCUGGAUGGUUCAGUAAUAGCCGGAUUGAGAGUGGUCUCAUCAGCUGACGGUCCAGGAGGGUCCGAUUGAGCCUGGACAGCCGGAUCUUCUGGAGCUUCGGAUUGAGCAGGAGGAGUUGGCAUUGUUGGUUCAGGUGCAGGAUCUUUAGGGUCUUCUGUCGGUUUAAUCACCCUGGCUUUCUUGGACUUAGCUUGACCGCUAAGAAAGAUUUUAUGAGACAGUUAGUGUAAUGAUGCAGCUUUAAAAGAUGUAGAGGAAAGAUGACUUUUCCUUACCCAAGGGCAGUCUUGAAAGCUGGCAACUGAGUUUGGGACGAAUCGCUAGAAGAGCGAGAAACCUCCUAAAAGGAUAAAAUAAAGGUAAGAAAGUAAGGAAAUGAAUUCGUGGAUAAAAGCAAAAGACAAAGGCAAAAGAAACCUCAUUCUGGCGCUUUCGAGGAGUCUUUUGUAAGUCGGAGGGCGGCUCAUUAUCGUCGUUAGUCCGGGCCUGGCGGCAGCUCUCAUGUUGCUGCUUUUUCAAAAGAAAAUGAGGGUCCGAAUAAGCCAAAGGGUGCGAAAACCUUACUUUUCGGGUUACAAGUCGAAGUUUCUGUCUUGGCAAAGGGGAUGAGUCGGAGGAAAUAGUUACCUCUUCUUCUACGGCCUGGCUGGCCCCCUUGUCGUCCUGGCAAUAAUCAGUGUCAAUAAGGUUAUUAAAAAGCUGGCCAAGGGAGUCAAGGGCUACCUCCGACUCAGAAAGAUCAUCCAGCCUCAACAUGUCAGAAGAGGUUUUCUUCUUCUUCGACUUCCGGGUCGUCUUCCUGGCGGCUAUGGCGGCGGCUCUAGCCUUCUUGGCAGCUUCAUGAUCGUACUUGGCUUUCCAGAAGUCAGAUUUGGCCUACAGGUAAAUAAUAGGUUAAAAUUCAUGCAAGUACUUAACUACUAAAGGAAAAAGAAGGUCAAGGGGAUUUACCUCUGGUGUCGGGUUAAGUUUGCAGAAGGGGUUUAACCCAACCUUGCUGUAGUCCUUGUAUUUGCCGUUCAUGAGGGUGGUUGACAUCUCUACAGUAGCUUCUUCAGUCAAUUGCACAGGACUAUGACACAGAGGGUUAUUUGGUCCUCUGCCAUAGGUGUACAUUAAGGCGGAACGACGACUCAGAGGGAUGAUCCGCCAUGAGAUCCAGCAACGGGUCAGAUCAACUCCAGUUAAGUUGUUUCCUAAUAAAGCAUUAAUCUUUUUGAUAGAGGGGGUGAGCUUCUUGCGUUCAACGGAAGUGAGCUUGUCUGGGAGCUCAAACUUGGAAUCCAGACGCUCCGCGCGGUAACCCGACAACGGUUUUUCAUCGGCAGGUGACGUGUCUUGGUAGUAGAACCAGGUAUGAUUCCAAUCUUUGGGAUGGCUCGGUAAGACUAUCAAGGGAAAGACGGCACCCUGUCGGCGCUGAAUUGAGAUUCCACCCAGCUCCAGGCUAAGGCCAUUGGUAUAUUCAUUCUAGCGGUUCAGAUAAAAGUACUCUCUGAAGAGUUCCACGGUCGGCUCUUCUUGCAAGUAAACCUCACAAAGGACUUGAAAGUUGCAGAUAUUGGAUAUGUAGUUGGGUCCUAGGUCUUGUGGAUGAAGCUUGAAAAAGUGCAGAACUUCUCUGAAGAACUUCGAGCCGGGUGGUGAAAAGCCCCGGUUCAUGUGAUCCGUAAAAACGAUGACUUCUCCGUCUCUUGGCUAAUGUCGUUCUUAGACCGGGUCAGGAUCACGAUAGGACAUAACAUUCUUUUUCGGCAGAUAUCCAACAGUGACAAAGUCCUUCAAGGUGUCCUCAGUGGCUGUGGAAGGAACCCAAUUGCAGACAAUUGGAGCUUUGGACGACAUGAUGAGCAAAGGACAAAACUGAAAAGAAAGUGAUGUCCGGUUCAAUUCAAUGGUGAAAUUAAAGGCUAAAUGAUGACAGUACAAAUAAGUAAUGGAGGCUUAAGUAAGGGAUAAUGACAUAUAAAGGAAAAGUGAGCCGGCGUGAUAAGCCGCCAUGACUAAAGAUAUUCGAAGGAUGCCAGAAACAGAAUUGGCUAAGUGUUGAGACAAACAAGUUUCCCAAGCUAUUGCUAUUAUUUUGGAUCAAAUGGCUGUUUAGAAAAGAAAAAUAUUCUAGACCUAAAAAUCUAGUACAGAUGAGUUCAUGAGUUCUAACAAGGCCUCUGUACAAGAAAAAGGGAUCUACUAGUAUCAAAAAUGGACACAAAACAACUACCGCACGAGUUAUAUGUUCCUUUUGGACCAGAUCAGGCUGUGGUGGAGGAACUACGAAGAAACUGUGAUGAACCAUGAAGAACACAGAGAAACUCAAAAACCCUAAUGCGGAUCUGAGGUGCGGGAAGGCGAAGACUUACAGCUGCAGAUGUUCUGCGGAGGGUCGCCGCUGUUCUCUGGAUCGAUUCAGGUUGAUGCAGCGGCCGAAGUCGAGGAAGACGAGGUGCUCUGCGACGGCGGCGGAGCUCGAGCAGCAGUAGGGUUGCGAAAGGAAGAAGAUGAGGAAAGGGAAGAAUGAGGAAAGACCUGGUCGUUCCUAUUUAUAAGGGGAUAAAUGAACAGACAUGCGCAAAAAUCGAGGAAGACCCAAAUAAUGAUUAUCCAACUAAACGGACGCUUGGAUUCUCGGAAGACAUUUAAAGAUAAAGAUCCUUUGAGGAUGAUGUCAUAACAGGCUUUCAUAUUUUCGGAAGAUGAUGUCAUGGCGGGUUACAAAGCUUUUACAGACAAAGGAAGAUGGCUUUCGUCUAAGUGUUGAAGGUUGACAAGAACGAAGUUCAAAUCAACCUGGGGCCUAAUGUUGGGAAUAUAACUACUAGGUAUGACCCGCCCAGGAGGGGCCGGGUCAAUACCAAUGGCGGGUUACUGAAAGAAGCCCAAUUAAUAUGCAAGACGAUGGUUUAAGCCCAGAGGCGGCUUAAGGCCCAAUAUUGUAAACUACCAUGUGUAAAGAAAGACUUGUAAAGAAAGGCAUGUAAAAGAAGUCACCGAGCCGGACACGUUCUAUGACCCGGCUGGGACUCUGUAGGCCGCCAGGCGUCAACCCGUGUAUAUAAGGGGACGACCCGGCAGCGGCUUAGGACAAGAAACAACAGAUCGAGAGCCAAGCUAGUAGAUUCGCUCCUUGGUCAUCGAAACCUAGCAAUACUACAUCAACUGGACUAGGCUUUACCUUCACCAUAAGGGGCCGAACCAGUAUAAACCUCUCGUGUCCUUUGUCCCGAUUAACCCCUUUAAGCUUCCUAGUUGCGAUGGCCCUACGACUAAGUCCUUUCGCUAGGACAUCUGCCGUGACAAUUCCACGACACUUGAUAUCUUUUAUAAUGGACUAACUGAUGCUUCCAGAGAUUACCUGGAUAGUUGUGCUGGUUCUGUUUUCAGGGAAAGAACACCGGAUGAAGCUGAAAUUCUAUUAAAUAAUAUGUUGACAAAUGAAAAUAAUUGGACACUUCCGGAGCCAACUCCUGAGCCUAUUCCUAAACCAACUCCGAAGAAAAGAGGUGUUCUAUUUCUCAGUCCUGAAGAUAUGCAAGAGGCAAAGAAAUCUACGAAAGAAAAGGAUAUUAAAGCUGAAGAUGUUAAGAAUUUACCUCCUAUUGAAGAAAUACAUGGUCUUAAUUUACCGCUUGUUGAUGAAACACAUGGUCUUGAUAACCCGACACAGGUAGUAAAGGUAAAUUCUCUCUAUAGAUAUGAUAAAGCUGAAAUCCCUCCUACUAAGUUUGCUAGCCAAUGUUUGGAUGAGUUUGAUAACUUUAUGGUUAAGCAAGAAGACUUCAAUGCUUAUUUUGGUAGACAAUUGAAACAAAAUGCUUAUAUGAUCAAACACUUGGGUGAUUAUAUGUCUAGAGUUAAAGGUGAACUUAAACUCAUUUGUAAACAUGCUUCUAUGGUCACCACUCAAGUAGAACAAGUACUUAAAGCUCAAAAUGAUUUGCUCAAUGAAUUGAAUAGUAAGAAUAAUGACUAUGCUGUUAGAGUGGUUACUAGAACUGGUAAAAUGACUUAGGAACCUUUGUAUCCUGAAGGCCACCCUAAGAGAAUUGAGCAAGAUUCUUAGAGAAACAAUAUAGAUGCACCUAGUCCUUCUAAAAGGAAGAAAAAGAAAAAUGAUAGGACUUUGCAUGCUUCUAGUGAACCUAUUGCUGAAACACCUGAGAAUCCAAAUGAUAUUUCUAUUUCUGAUGCUGAAACCCAAUCUAGUAAUGAACAUGAACCUAGUGAUAAUGUUAAUGAUAAUGUUCAUGAUGAUGCUCAACCUAGCAAUGAUAAUGAUGUAGAAGUUGAACCUGCUCUUGAUCUUGAUAGCCCACAAUCAAAGAAUCAACGUUAUGAUAAGAAAGACUUUGUUGCUAGGAAGCACGGUAAAGAAAGAGAACCAUGGGUUCGGAAACCCAUGCCUUUUCCUUCCAAACCAUCCAAGAAAAAGGAUGAUGAGGAUUUUGAGCGCUUUGCUGAAAUGAUUAGACCUAUCUUUUUGCGUAUGCGAUUAACUGACAUGCUCAAAAUGAAUCCUUAUGCUAAGUAUAUGAAAGAAAUUGUUACUAAUAAAAGAAAGAUACCGGAAGCUGGAAUUUCCACCAUGCUUGCUAAUUACACUUUUAAGGGUGCAAUACCUAAGAAGUUAGGAGAUCGAGGACUACCCACUAUACCAUGCUCCAUUAAAAGAAACUAUGUUAAAACUGCUUUAUGUGAUCUUGGAGCCGGUGUUAGUGUUAUGCCUCUCUAUUUAUAUCGUAGACUUGAUUUGAAUAAGUUUACACCUACUGAAAUAUCUUUGCAAAUGGCUGAUAAAUCAACUGCUAUACCUGUCGGUAUUUGUGAGGAUGUGCCUGUUGUGGUUGCAAAUGUUACUAUUUUAACGAACUUUGUUAUUCUUGAUAUCCCCGAGGACGAUAGUAUGUCUAUUAUUCUUGGAAGACCCUUUUUGAAUACUGCAGGGGCUAUUAUUGAUUGCAACAAAGGCAAUGUCACUUUUCAUGUUAAUGGUAAUGAGCAUAUGGUACACUUUCUGAGGAAACAACCUCAAGUUCAUAGUAUCAAUUCUAUUGGAAAAAUUCCAUCGAUUAUUUUUGGAGGUUUUGAAUUUCCUCUACCUACUGUCAAGAAGAAAUAUGAUAUUCUAAUUUCCCCGUUGAGGUAACUUAGUGUUAUUCGAAAUUUCUCCGGUUCCAUGUUAUUCGGAAUGAGUUUGUUAAGAAGACCUGAUCAACCUUGUUAGUGGAUUUCUUUUGAUGAUCGUGACAUGGAUGAAGUUAGAAAGCACAACCUUCUGUACCCUCCUUUUAGUUUCCAUUAUUUAGUUGAAAUAAAGUAAAAAUAGUAUUCUCUGUCUGUUUUCUGAUUUAUCCAUGCAAUAUAAAAAUACCCCGGAAAUAAAAGUUCUCCAAAUGCCCUGAAAUUUAAAUAUGUUUUUUUCUAGAAUAUUUGAGGAUAUUUGGCACUGAGAACACAUCAGGGGGAGUAGGCACCUAGCCACGAGGGUCCAGGGCACGCCCACCCCCUGGGCGCGCCCCUGCCUCGUGGGCCCACGGUGUCCCUCCACCACUAUUUCCUGCACCCACACACUUCUUCUUCCUCCCAAAAAAAUCACCAUCCAGCUCAAGCACGAGUUCUAGCUCAUUUUGCUAUGAUUUUCGAUCUCCUUGCUCAAAGCACCUCUCACAAAACUUCUUUGGGGGAUUGUUCCUUGGUAUGUGACUCCUCCAUUGAUCCAAUUAGUUUUUGUUCUAGUGCUUUAUUCAUUGCAAAUUUGUGCUGCCUAGGUGACCAUGUUCUUGAGCUUGCAUGCCAAAUAUUUAUGGUUCCAAGUAGUUAUAAUGCAUGAUAUAGGCUCUAGGCACUUGUAGGAGUAGUUGCUAUCAAUUUUGUUGAGUUUGGUUCACUUUUAUUUAAAGUUACUAAAAAUUUCAGAAUUUUUUAGAAAAUAAUGAAGAGAUUUUUGAGGGGCUCAUCAAGCCGAAGCUCGAAGGAAAAGCAAAGUGAAGAAGCAGAGAGGCCCAAAUACAAUCUGCCUCGCACCAUGGAGGUUCGGCCGUGUGAAUGGCCUUCCAAUGAUUUCUUGAGAGCAGCCGGGAUUUAUGACAAUUUUUAUGAAUUGGCUAAGAAUGCAGGCCUCACCGACUUCCUCCACGACCAACGCGAACAGUAUCUCUUACUCACCAAUACUUUUGUGCAAAACUUCUACUAUUAUCCUAAGGAAUCACCUCCUUCAGUGGAGUUUCAUUUAUAUGAUGUGGUUAAGAAGAUGUCACUAUAUGAAUUUUGUAGGGUUUGCAAAAUACCUUUCGAGGGUAGCUUAGAGGAACCACAUCGUGCAGAUGUGGACGAGUUUAUUGACACUAUUACCGUAGGGGAAACUAGGAAGGUUUCUGAUGCAAGAAUUACUAGCAUACAUUUUCUUGUUUUACGCUACUUUGCAAUAUUUGCUAGUCGUUGCUUAAUUGGUCGUGGAAACUAUGGAAACCUUAGUGUUCCUGAUAUUUUAUUUUGUUCCAUGGUUUAUUCCGUGACGACUCUGUUAUUAUGGGCGGUAUUAUUGCUAAACGGUUAAGUCUGAACCGUACAAAGGGCCCCAUCUUUGGAGGUGUCUAUGCUUCACGCCUUGCUGCAUACUAUAACAUACCUAUUAGACACUAGGAAAAAGAAGAAAAAUUGUUGCCUACUAUUUAUUUAGAUUAUAAGAGUAUGGUAGCGCAUGAUUUUAUUGUAAAGAAUAGGGAAAGGGAGCUUAAAUACAAAUUGUUCUUUGAUAAACAUCAUCCUGAGACUACCACCUUGCCUGCUCCUUCCUUGUUUGAUAUAUCUACAGGCCAGUAUCUCGUCCUGCUGGAGGCUAUUCACGCCUACCGGAACCCUACAUCAGCCAUAGAGCCAGAGCCGGAACCACAAUUUGAUCCUCCACGACAGUCUAAUUACCAGUGGGAUCCGGAGAUGAUUUCCAACCAGUGGCAAUCAGAGUCUUUUCGCAGUACGACCCCAACUAUUACUUUGGAUAUCCGCCAGGCCAGCCGUGGCCAUAGACCAACUUAGGCCAAAAGCCUAAGCUUGGGGAGUACGUAUUUCCCACCGACAUUACAUUUAUGUUCACACACUCAUUGCUAGAUGUCGGUGCUCAUACUUUUUCACUGUAUCAUCCAUGCUAGUUUAUUUUCCUUUUUAUGCCUUCUUCUUGUGUGUUUAAUAAACCUUAAGAAAAACAAAAAAAA
rnacentral:lncRNA from 1 species